GUACUCAGGAUGCUGCGUUGCGGUCCAAGCCACCCGCCAAUAGUGGAAGAAGGCAACGUUCUAUCUGCUGAUGAUGAAUCAUUGAUGAAGGAAAUCCACUGUUUGGAACAAUUAAAUCUCAUCACCUUGUCCUUACAUGGUUCGCGUGGUGUUGAAAACUUUCUGAAAUUCCCAAAGCUGCAGAAUAUCACUCAAGCUCUGUCCAUCGAAAACUGCAACAGUCUACCGCUCAAUUUGUUGCAUCUAGCAAACAUGGAGCAUCUUGAGCAGUUAAGCAUUUGGGACAGUAAUUUGGAAGACUGGAAUGUCGACUGCGCGGGAGAGGUACAAAAAAUGCGUAAACUUCACUUUGUUACAAUAUACGAAUGCUCAAAUGUGAAGGACUUGACGUGGCUUGUUUUUGUUCCAAAUCUCAAGAGGCUGCGAAUAUUUGAUUGUGAUGAAAUGGAAGAAAUAAUCAGUGUUGAAAAAUUUGAAAAAUUGAGUGAAGUUUCAGAGAUGAUGGGAGAGCUUAACUUGUUCUCAGAGCUCGAAUCUCUGAGUCUAGGAUAUGCAAGUAAUUUGAAGCGCAUCUACCACGAUCCCUUGCCCUUUCCACAGCUGGAGGAAAUUCGCAUAUCAGAAUGCCCAAAGUUGAAGAAGCUCCCGCUCAAUUCCAGCAGGGCAAAGGGACGUAAAAUUGUCAUUUACGGGGACAAAGAAUGGUGGGAAGAGCUACAAUGGGAGGAUCAAGCCACACAAAAUGCUUUCUCUCCCUGUUUCCUACCUGAUGAACAAUAAAGUGCAAUACCAAGCAAGACUUUGAAUAAAGUUUCUGCGUGUGCUUAAUGAUUAUCUUGUCUAUCCAUUUCAUUUAAUUUAAAAGCUUUCUACGGUGUUGCGUGUGUGUCACUUGUCAUUCUUCUGUACUGCUGUUUCCUAUUUCCAGUUAAUAAAAUUUUUUUGUUCUUAGAAAUGCUUUGCUGGUAAGGGAGAUUCACAAUUUUCCCAUAUUAUGAUUAAUAUAUUCUAUUUACUUUCCUACUAUUUUGCAUAAUUUUUUAAUAUUAUUUUUAUUUUUAAAUAUAUUUUUAUUCAUAUUUAUUAUAAAUUAAAUAAAUGUAUGAAUAGAAAUAAAAAUAAAAAUUAAGUAUUAAAACAAGAAAUAUAUAUUAUCAUGUGAAUAAAAAAUAAAUAUUUGUUUGUACUUAUUUAUUUUAUGUAUUCAUUAUAAGAAAAUAUUUAUAAAAUAAAAAGUGCAAGAAAGAUAUUUUAUUGUUAAUUUUUUAUUCACAUCAAAACAUAUAUUUCUUACUUUUAAUAUUUAAUUUUUUAUUCAAAUCAUCAUUCAUAUGAUUUAUUUAAUUUAUAAUAAAUAUGAAUAAAAAUAUAUUUGUAAAUAAAAGUAAUAUUGUAAAUUAUGUUGUUAGAAAUUAUUGGUUAUUAUAAAAAUAAUAUGGGAUAAAUGGUAAAUCAUAGAUAUUAUUUCCUAUUUUCAGCUAAAAAAUUUCUUUGUUCCAAGAAUUACAUUGCUAGUAAUAAGGCUUUCAAGUUGCUUAACUGAAUAUGACUUCUUUCUUAAAAAGUUUAUCUAUUUCGGAGAUUGAUUAUCUCGAAGCAGUGAGAUUUAUGUAAUAUUGGUAUUAAAAAAAUUUGUGCUACUAAUAAAAAAUGGUCCAUCGGCCUAAAUGGCAAAUCGUGGCUUGAUUUUCUCAGCCCGAAGGCUCCGUAUCUCACUUUCGAAAGUAGUUUUAGCAAAAUGCAGGUAAAAAAUAAAAAUAUUCUGCAAUCUCUACGUAGCUUUUUCAGCAGAUUUCACCUAUUUGACUGUAGACGAAAGCAUCCAUUGGAUCGAUGCAUUUAUUAAGAAGAGGAUCAUCCGAAGGCAAAAGAUCAAGAUUAUCAUCUUAGGCCAGGAUAACAAUGUUCACUGCCCUCGCCAAUAGUACCUUUAGUGCUCUUCUUAAUUAGAUCAUUUCUUGUAUUAUAGUUUAUUUCGUGAAUAUUUUGAGGUUUAUAAAGGGGAAUUGAUUGAUUAUUGGAUUAACGAGGGAUUUGUACUUGAUUUUGAUGAAGGAUCCACCGAUCCACCAUUAUCAGUGAUCUUCUUCACACAUAUUUAUUACAAGAGGUAAAUGAUAAUCAUGUCAAAUGCAGGAAGUGAUUCGGGAUAUGGCAUUGCAGAUAGCAUGUAAAAUAGAGUAGGAGGAGAACUUUUUUGGUUCAUGCGGGAGUUUUAUUAACUGCAGCACCAAAGAUUGAAGAAUGGGAAGAGGUCAAAAGGAUAUCAUUGAUGGACAAUAAUAUUACGAGUCUAUCAGCAAUUCCUAAUUGUCCUUGUCUCCUAACUUUGCUCCUUUAGAGAAUCAAAAUUAGUAUGAUCAUUUAUGGUUUCUUUCAAUUUAUACCUUCUCUUAACGUUUUGAAUCUAGGAUUCUUUAUAUUUCUGACCAAAUUACCUUCUUUAACUGUCAUAAAGGAGUUGCUAGAAGAGAUGAAGGCCUUGGUAAAUCUUAGAUAUUUGAACUUGGAAUAUGUAACAUCAAAAAAUGAGUGCCCGCAACUGCUGCGUAACUUUCUAAAGUUGACAGGCACUCAAAAUGCUGGGUUGCAGUAAUUAUAGUGGAGAAGAAGAAGGUAGAGCUUUAUAUGAAGAUGUCGAACCUUCAUAAGUUGCUCUAUUUGGAAAACUUGAAUCUGUUGAGCAUUACCUUCGAUAGUUGCCCUAUUCUUGAAAUUCUUUUAACAUUACAAAAGUUGCUGAUUUGUACAGAAUCUCUAUGGCUUACAAAAAUUUAUAUUCUAGUGUCCCUCAAUGUUUUACCUCGAGCAUACAUGAAGCAUCUCAAAAAUUUUCUUAUUCAAUUUGCAUAUGAGAAUGCAAGAGAGAUACAAAAUUUGCUACAAAGCGGUUUUCGCAGUCUUCAAACAAUUUGCAUAUGAUUGUUCAAGUUUGAAAAAAUUUAUUUUCCCAAUCCAAUCAAGAUGGAGAGUAAGCCUCAAAAGCAUUGUGAGCUAUCUUUACAAUUUUCACCCCUUCUUUGUAUGUGAAGAAAGAUAAUAAAGAACAACAAAUUAGUAAUGAAGAAAAAGAAAAUGGCAAGUUCAAUAUGGUAGAAGUUAAUUGUCCAUUUAACGUUGCUCAAUCAAGUAAGCUUUACCUCCAAUUCUUGAAGAAAAUGGCUAAUUCUACUCUCUUUUACUUUUCUUGGUUCUGCAGUAAAAUUCAGUUCUAGUUUGAAGGAAAUUGUUAACAUCAAAACCUACAUAUUGCCUAAGCGUCUGCUGACAUCAUAUUUCCAGAUACACCAUAACCAGAUCAUAUAAGACAAGAAAUGUGAAAGAAAUACAAAAUGAGUCACAGAAGGAAAUUACAUGCUCUGCAAUUUUUCCUGCUAAACCCAGCAGUUAGAAUGCUAAUUGUUUCGAGCACCUUAAUACUCAAAGGACCCCAGCUUGAAAUGGCUUUAGCUUAGCUUCCUUUAGCUCUGUUGCAACACACACACACCUCCAGGAAAGGAACAGAACAAAAUACCUCAUCAUACCAAAUAUGAGAGAUAAGACGAGGCAUUACUCUGUGGCAUGCACCUGAUUUCUCUAGAAAAAUCCAAUUUCUCCAUAGGUUCUCCACAAUCAGUGUGUGAUCAACCUUUAAAGCAUUCAAUUUUAUCAUUAAGAGAAGGAAGGGAAUUCCUCCCAUGCGAUGGUAACUCCUUAUUUAACACAGGGUCAGAGCAGAGCAAGAAGACCAGGGAAUUUCAUUAGAUUAAGAAAAGAAUCGCCACCCAAUGGAGCAUUUGAACCAAAACUCUUGUCAAAUUCUUGAAAUUUCCUGCUUUCAUUAAGAGAACUGAAGGAAGAAAGAAGGGGGGCAUAGCCAGAACCAGAUUUAAAUUCAAUCGGGUUUUUUAAGCUAACAAACCUGCAUGAGCAUCUAAAAUUCAAUACCCAUGGAAUAGAUCUGCCUUCAACUUCACAUACCAGCUUCUCUUAACCAAUGACCACCAUUAGAAAUAAGGAUUCUUUAUCGUAAAUUCAUAAUGCACGAAAGAAAUCAUCGAAAGGCCCAACCUUCUCUCUGAGUUCCUUCAAGAACCAAAAUCCACCAAAACAAGUGAAUUUCAAACUCUAUCACUCAUCACUCUCUCUUUCUCAGUUGUUUGGGCCUAUGAUGCCAAUUUACAACAUUCAAUCGAUGCUGAAUAUUUUGUCAGCUUGUCCCAAUUCCAGAUGUGCAAUGUUCACAUUACAUUGUCUUGCCUACCAUUUGAUUUGAACCAUAAAAUCUAUCUAAAGAAGUUCAUGUUUCACACUUUCUUAGCCAUUAUCAUCAGCAUUCAUCUCCCAUAUUCUCAGGUUUAAAUCAUUGGAAACUGAGUGACAAAUAUGAUAAUAGAAUGAAAACUUUAGUGGCAUGAAGGAACAUAGAAGCAACAUCGGAUGUUUUAAAUCUGCAGCAUAAUUUCCUUAGAUCCCUCACAAAGAUUGAAACUUCAAAUGAAAUAAAGUAGCAGGGCAUAGAUUGGAAGUCACGUGCUUGAUAUUUAAUUCUGUCAAAAAUAAUUUGCAGUAUUGAAAUAGAUGCUCUAAUAAAUUUUCACAGGGAUUUCAAUAUUUGCCGCUAAUCUUCAGUAGUGAAACAGGAUAAAAUCAUAACGUGUCCUAUAACUAGCAGAGGCAAAAAGAUCCUACAAAAAAAGAAAGCCAAAAACUGUUACAAUCUACAGAACGCAAGUAUUCUACUAGCCAACUCCCAUUAAAAUUUGAAGCCCUUCUAAAAUCUCAGCCUAUACUUCCUUCUAUGUACCCCAACUGAAUUUCUCCUAGAAAUCACAUUUCUUCAUCAGCCUUAACUCAUAAAUCUUUUACUUUUAAUCAGAGAUACUUUUUGAUAUGCUUGGCUUUACAACAAUGAAUAAUUUUCCUUAAAUCUUUUCUAAUGGACAAGAAAGCACAAAGCACAAAAAUUGCCAUAGUUGGAUAGAUAGAAACAGCUUUUCCUGAAGCUUUGUCACAAGAAAACCUGAACAUCAUCGCUUCUCUUACAAGGCCCCAGAGCAGAAGAAGUGUCCCAAUUAGGCUCAUCCUCCAAGCUCCAAUUAAGGCUCCUGCAACAGACAAAUAGCUUCCUGCAAGAACCUGAUGUUCCUCCAAAAGAAAAAAAAAUGACAAAAUGAAAUGCAAUGUACUACUAAGUUCAAGAGAAAAGCUCCUAAAAUAAAAUUUUGGAGUUUUGGUUUGCCUAUGGUUUUAUGACUCUUUUUGUACAAAGAUCAUAUUUAGGCAUAAGGCUCGUAAUGUUUGAAAUAGCAAUAAUUGACAUGAAUAUGAUUGUUUAAAAAAAAAAGAAUAACAAUAACCUCUAGGCGGAGGAGAUCAGUUUUCCGGGAAUUUGUUAGAUUGGUGAAGUUAUAUAGCCGCAGCAAUUUGCUGUAGCUUGGAAUGCUUUUGCCCUUCAUUAUGGCACUUGCCAAUGCUCCAGGAUACAGAAGAACCUUGGCUACAAAUUCAGGGAAGACUUCACCUAUAAUCAACUGGAAGCAUGUCACCUCUAUAGGUGUUGUACAUUUUCCACUUCUACAUGGUAUCCUACAAAAACAAACAAUACAACAUGUAUUAUACAUGUAUUUCAAAAGCAUUUUUAAUGCUAUUAAGUUUAGCCAAUGAAAUCUCUACAAGACAUCUGGGAUUCCAACUCCUCAUAUGUGAAAUGAAUGUCAAAAAGAAAUGUGGGUUGAGUCGGCUUUUAUGCUUAUUAAUAGAAUUGAAUAAUGCUGCCAGUGACAGUAAAAUGAAUUUCAUGUGAUAAUUGAAUCAUAAAAGUGACGUAAAUGAUGACAAAAUAAUCACCAUUAUUAUAUAAAAUGAGAAAAUAAUUAUGGAAGAAACAGGAAGAAUUACCUGAAAAGAGGGAUUUGGAAGACAAUGAAACAAAAAUAUAAAGAAGAAGCAAUUGAAGAUAUAAAGGCUGCCCAUUUCUUUGAUGAACCCAUCAACAAAGGCUUGAAACUGUAAAAUGCUGUGAUGGAGGGAAUUGAAAGUUGAAACUCUAAAAUACGCAAAUUAAUUCAUGGGGCCAUCUUGAUUGAUUGAUUACAUAGUAAUUGAAAAGUGUCCGUACAUAGUGACAUCAGUUUUCUCUCUUAAAUUAGGAAAUGGUUCAUUUGUUUUUUUUUUUUCAGUAAUUAGUGGAGAAAAUUUGGUGAAAAUAUCAUGAAAAUAGCCAAAAUUUAGGAGUCAUCCAUAAUGUUAGCCGGUUUUUCACUUCUUUUAAUUUUAUUGCCAAAAAAUACGCCAUUUUAGAUAGAAACAGCCUUGGCUAGCCCUUUUGCAAGUUACACUAUUAAGUGCGUGUGAUAACAAAAUGUUUAUUCUAGUUUCCAACCCUGAGAAUUUUUCAACCUCAAAUAAAUAAAUAAAUAAAUAUUAUCUGGUAAUGAUAUGUUAAUCAAAGUUUUUAGAGUGUCAUCCAACUGAACACCCCCACUAUAACCAUUGGGAGAAGGAAAUGAGCUAUCUCAUGUGACAAUAACUCCUUUUUUAACAAAGGAUCUAACAAAGCAAGACGGGAAGAUCAUUUUCUUCCCCACCCAGUUGAAAUAAUUUUCUCAAAAAACUCAAAGUAGAACUAACAGACGUUCUUUCAAUAAUACCAACUGUAUUUGCAAUGCUUUUUUUCUAUUUCAUUAUACAUACUUAUUUGUUUCUACAUUAUUACUUUAAUGUAUAUUACUUAAAAUAAAUUAAAAAGUAUUAAACGCUUUAAUUAAACUUUAAUGCUAAAGAGCUCACUUUAAUGAUGUUUGAACAGCAGUAGCUUGUUAUAAACCUUAAACAUUUAAUAGUGCAAAGUCAUAACCUUAUGUCCUGCAGCUAGUUGAUAUCUCCCCAAGCUAAAAAUGUGUUGGGUACUCUUCUUCCUUCUUUUUUUUAAUGUUACAAUUUAUAUAGAUGUAUUAUUAUUUUACGUUUAUUGGGACUUUAGAUACAUGUAUUUAUAUAUUAUUUUAUAAAUCUACCCAGACUAGUUCAGAAAUUUACUUUUAAUUAUAUUCAAUCUACUCUCAUUAAGGCCAUGUUUGGUAUUGAGUUAACAUAAUUGUUGUAAAAAAAAUAUAAUUAUGAAAUAAAAAUGAUUAACAUAUAAUAAAUAUGACUUAUAAAUAAUUAUUUUGAAAAAAAAUUAUAAAGAUAUUAUAAGUUUUCCAAAUAAAAGUGGUGGAUCAAAUUAAUUUAAUUCUUAAGUCACAAUAGUUAGUGUUUACCAAACAUUAAAAGUUAUUGCCAUACAAUCUCAUUACCAAACAAGAUUAACAAUAUUAGCAAAAAAAUCUACUUUUAUUCUACAUUAGUAUUACCGGUGUCCUCACCAUUAUUGAGAUUUGAGAGCAUCGACCCUAGGCUUUCUUACACUCUGCUUGCUAUAACUUUCCAAGUAGAAUUUUUAUUAAAAAAAUUAGUUUUUUACUUAUUAAUAAAAAAAUUAUUAAAAAUUAUAAAAUUAUUUUAAUUGACAAACUUCUUAAAGUUAUAUUGUGAAGUGAGUGAAAUUAAAUUGCGAAGUAAGUAAAAGAUAUUUGAGAUAAUUUAAAAAUACUUUCCAAUCUCUAUUCUAAAAAGUUUAAAUUUAAAUCUUUAUCAACGUAGACGAAAUAACUUAUUUAUUUCCUUUAAAAUUCUACUCAAAUUAUAACUAAAUAAUAAUAUUAUAUUUUUAAAAAAUAUUAUGAGAUAAAAAAAUAUUUAAAUAAAUAUUUUUCAUCCAAUAUUCAUUUACUUAAACUUUAAAAAAAAUAAUUAUUUCACGCCGCGGCGGCACAGAAAAAUACAUUUCCAAAUCCCGGAGAGUAACAAUUAACAAAACAAACAAAAGGGAUUUUAAUAAAUUUGAUGCCUCGUUCACCGAAUCUGGCCAAUUUUAAAUAAAAUGGGUGACGUGAUCAUGAUCAUGUGAUAAAUAAAUAUUUAUUUCAAUUUCCGACCCACAUAAGCAUUCAUCCCAUCUCAUAAAGAAUUUCUCCACACGAUUUAAACAAAACCCACCCUCUUUAUGGACUCCACUUUUCAGAAGGGUGUUUGCCUUUGCCCACCGAGUAACCAACCAAAACUCUUUCCCCUUCUGCUUUCAUUCUCCAACUCGUUGUCACUGACUCACUGUGUUUUGCUCUUCCUCUCUAUAUGAUAUUUAAGAACUAUUAAAUGUUUGUUUGUUUCUAAAAAAAAUAUUUGUUUUUUUGGUAUUAGAUGAUUAUAAAUAUUUAUUUAAUUUUAUAAUUUUUUAAAAUUUCUUAUUAUUGUUUCAUUACUUUUUAGUAAUUUUUUAAUAUUAAACAAAUUAUUUUUGUCUCGACUAAUAAAAACUUAAACUCUAAAUUUUUUAGAACAUAAAUUACAUUUUUAAAAAUAUCAAAAUAUUUAAAAUAUAUUUUAUUUAUUUAAUAUUUCAUUUUUUAUUAAAUAAUUUUAUAAUUAUUUAUUAAAAUUAUUUUAUAAUUUUUAAUAAAAACUCACGUUAAUAAUUAAAUAACUAAAAUUAUUUUAAUAAAAAAUUUACUAAUAAAAAUUCUACCACACUGCAGAGUCUACUCACCUGUCCGUACUGUUUAAUUUUUAAAAUUUUAAAAAAUUCUACCCUCGUUAUCAAUAUUAUUUCAAUACUGUCACCAAAUACGAACAUCACAUCUUAAUAAAGAUAAUUGGGUGUGUUAGCAUUUUGGUCAAAUUUACAGUAUUAUUUCAAUACUAUUUACGCACAUCGAUAUCAAUAUUAUUUCAAUACUAUCACCAAUAUUAUUUCAAUGUUAUCAUUAUCUCCCCAAAAUAAUGAUAAUUAUUAAUUGUUUCAUCUCAUAAAUAAAAAUUUAAUAUUGUGUAUUUGCGUGUGAUGGCAUUUUGGUCAAAAGAUGAUUUUACCUUUACAUUAUUUGGAUCUAUAAUAUAAUAUGAUUUUCAACAAAAAGAUAAUUUUAGGUUGUCAGAUGAUAAUAACAACCAAAAAUAUUAUCUCUCGCCUGUAACUUGAGGAUAUAAUAAAAGUUUUUCAUUAUACUCUACUGUUAGUUUCUCUUCUUUUAUUCCUUUGAAAUCUUUCGACAAAAAUGGGUGGCACCAUCUCAACUUUCUUAUCAACAGACACAAUUCGUUCAAUUUUAUCUUAUGUUGGUGGAGAAGCUAAGUAUAUAUGGGGUCUUAAAGGCAAUCUCGAUGACUUGCAGACUCAAAAGGAGAACUUGACUGCGAAAAAACAAGAUCUGCUGAAUAAGGUUAAGCUUGCCGAGCAACAAUCCCGAACCAGACGGACGACGACGGUGGAACUUUGGUUUAGAAGGGUGGAAGAAAUAGAAACUAGAGUUGAGAAUCUGCAAAAAGAAGGAGAUCAACAGGUUGAUAGACUCUGUCUUGGAGGCUUCUGUUCCACGGACUUGAUUUCAAGCUACGACUUCGGCAAAAAAGUGGAGAACUUGAGAGAAAAAGUGAUCGAACUGAAGAAAGAGGGGGAAGCAAUGAAAGAAGUUUAUGAGGGGGUACCAGAAGGUGCAGCGGUUGCAAUAGCUGUUGACCGAACAAUUGUUGGUCAAGAAUCAAUACUUGACCAAGUUUGGAGAUGCAUCACUGAUCAAAAAAAGAAUGAGGGAAUUAUUGGCUUAUAUGGUAUGGGGGGCGUCGGCAAAACUACUCUGUUAAACCAAGUCAAUAACAAAUUCUGCGGUGAUGAACAACAUCAUUUUGAUGUCGUUAUCCGGUCGGUUGUAUCUAGAGAGCCAAACAUGAAGCAGAUUCAAGAGGAUAUUGGGAAAAGGAUAGGCUUCUCAAAAAAUUCAUGGCAGGAUAAAAGUUUUGAAGAAAGGGCUUCAGACAUCACCAACACUUUAAAGCAUAAGAAGUUUGUAUUGUUAUUGGAUGAUAUAUGGGAGUCCGAAAUUGAUUUAACCAAAUUGGGCGUCCCUCUUCAGACACUAGAUUCUGGGUCCAGAAUAGUCUUCACAACUCGUUUUGAGGGUACUUGUGGUAAAAUGGGAGCCCAUAAGAAUCGGUACAAAGUGUUUUGUUUGGGAGAUGACGAUGCCUGGAAAUUAUUUGAGGGGGUGGUCGGGAGAUACGUUCUUAACAAGCAUCCCGACAUUCCGAAGUUAGCCGAGGAUGUGGCACGUCAGUGUCAUGGUUUGCCGCUAGCACUCAAAACAGUAGGUAAUGCCAUGGCGAGCAAAGAGUACCCUGAAGAAUGGAAAGAAGCAAUUGAGAUCCUAAGCGAAUCAGCUUCUAAAUUCGAAGGUAUGGAGAAAAAGGUGCUUUCGAUCUUAAAGUUCAGCUAUGAUAGUUUGCCGAAAGAUGAACUUCGAUCUUGUCUCCUGUACUGUUGCUUAUUUCCCGAAGACUCUGAAAUUCUAAAAACCGAGUUGAUAGAGUAUUGGAAAAGUGAAGGAUUUGUGGAUUCCAGCAGCGGGUGGGGGGUUCUUGGUGCUCUCGUUCGUGCAUGCUUAUUGGAGGAAGCAGGUGAUCAUGUAAAAAUGCACGAUAUGAUCCGUGACAUGGCAUUAUGGAUAGCAAAUGAAGUAGAGGAGGAGGAGAACUUUUUGGUUCGUGCAGGAGUUGGAUUAACUGACGCCCCAAAGAUUGAAGAAUGGGAAGGGGUCAAAAGGAUAUCCUUGAUGCAGAACAAAAUUCAAAGUAUAACACAAAUUCCCACUUGUCCGCGUCUGCAAACAUUGCUUCUGGCGAGUAAUCGUAUUAAGGAGAUCACUGAGAGUUUCUUUCAAUCUUUGCCUUCACUUAGAGUUUUGAGUCUAAGAAGAAAUCGUUCCCUGACUGAACUACCUGUGGGGAUUUCAAGUCUGGUUUCAUUACACCAUCUUGAUCUGUCUUCUACUAAAGUACGUGGAUUGCCGCAAGAGCUCAAGGCAUUGGUGAAUCUGAGAUAUUUGAACUUGGAGUUUACACGUGAAAUGUGUAAAAUUCCAGAGCAAUUAAUAUCAAGCUUUUCAAAGUUACAGGUACUCAGGAUGCUGCAUUGCGGUCCACGUCACCAGCCAAUAGUGGAAGAAGGCAACGUUCUAUCUGCUGAUGCUGAAUCAUUGAUGAAGGAAAUCCACUGUUUGGAACAAUUAAAUCUCAUCACCUUGUCCUUACAUGGUUCGCGUGGUGUUGAAAACUUUCUGAAAUUCCCAAAGCUGCAGAAUAUCACUCAAGCUCUGUCCAUCGAAAACUGCAACAGUCUACCGCUCAAUUUGUUGCAUCUAGCAAACAUGGAGCAUCUUGAGGAGUUAUAUAUCGAGGAUAGUAAUUUGGAAGACUGGAAUGUCGACUGCGCGGGAGAGGUACAAUAAAUGCGCAAACUUCACUCGGUUCUCAUACGGAAUUGCUCAAAUGUGAAGGACUUGACGUGGCUUGUUUUUGUUCCAAAUCUCAAGUGGCUGCGAAUAGUUGGUUGUGAUGACCUGGAAGAAAUAAUCAGUGUUGAAAAUUUUGAAAAAUUGAGUGAAGUUUCAGAGAUGAUGGGAGAGCUUAACUUGUUCACAGAACUCGAAUCUCUGAUUCUAAGAAAUGCAAGUAAUUUGAAGCGCAUCUACCGCGAUCCCUUGCCCUUUCCACAGCUGAAGGAAAUUCUCAUAUUGAAAUGCCCAAAGUUGAAGAAGCUCCCGCUCAAUUCCAGCAGUGCAAAGGGACGUAAAAUUGUCAUUUACGGGGAGAAAGAAUGGUGGGAAGAGCUACAAUGGGAGGAUCAAGCCACUCAAAAUGCUUUCUCUCCCUGUUUGGCUGUUUCGUGCCUUCAUGAAUAAUAAAGUGCAAUAAGGCGCAAAAGUGUGAAUAAAGUUUCUGCGUGUGCUUAAUGAUUGUCUUGUCUAUCCAUUUCAUUUAAUUUAAACGCUUUCUACGGUGUUGCGUGUGUGUCACUUGUCAUUCUUCUGUACUGCUGUUUCUUAUUUCCAGUUAAUAAAACUUUUUUGUUCUUAGAAAUGCUUUGCUGGAAAGGGAGAUUGUCAAUUUUUCCAUAUUAUGAUUAAUAUAUUCUAUUUAUUUUCUUAUUAUUUUUAUUACAGUCAAUAAUUGUUUGAUAGCAUAAUAUUUUAAUAUUAUUUUUAUUUUUAAAUAUAUUUUUAUUUAUAUUUAUUAUAAAUUAAAUAAAUGUAUGAAUAGAAAUAAAAAUAAAAAUUAAGUAUUAAAAUAAGAAAUAUAUAUUUUAAUGUGAAUAAAAAAUAAAUAUUUUUUUAUACUUUUUUAUUUUAUAUAUUCAUUAUAAGAAAAUAUUAUAAAAUAAAAAGUGCAAGAAAAAUAUUUUAUUAUUAAUUUUUUACACAUCAAAAUAUAUAUUUCUUUCUUUUAAUACUUAAUUUUUUAUUCAAAUCAUUAUUUAAUUUAUAAUAAAUAUAAAUAUAAAUAUAUUUGUAAAUCAAAGUAAUAUUGUAAAUUAUACUGUUAGAAAUAAUAAUAAGUUUAUCUCCAGCAUGAAUAACAUUAAAGCGUGGCUAGCAUCAUCAUAUUUUAUCUACAGCAUCAAAAUACUGAUAACAUCAACACCAUAAUUCCAAGGUUGUCAAACUAAUCAUCUCAAAAUGCCAUUAUGCUUAUAGCGUGCUGGCAUCAUCUUUACUUUCAGCAUCAAAAUUCUUUUAUUUAAUACAUUUUUAUUUUAUACAAUUUUUAUCAUAUUAAAACCCUUUGUGACCUAAGUUAUAUAGACUUUUAAAAAUUUUAUGCCACCUCUCUUUAGUAAUAGUAGUAUUGAUUAUGAUUUAAUUAUUUUUUUUAAUUUAUUAAACACUAAUCACUUAAAUUUAACCCAAGAAAAAAAUUAGAACAUCAAAAAAAUUUUAAUUGAUUCUUAUUAAGUACUAGAAUUAACUUCUCCCAAUGAUAAUUUAUUAAGCAAACCAUAAUGAUCAUCUUACACUAAAGAACCAACACAUCUUCAAAACACAAGUAUUUAGUACAAAUAAUUAUCCCAAUAAAAUUUAAUGAAAAAGGAAAGAGAUAUUUUUAUUAUUUCUUUUCCUUUCUUUUAUUUCAAUUUCUUGCCUCUUGAUCUCUUCCAAAAACCAAGCAAACUACUUAUUAAAAAAUUAAAAAAAAAAAAAAAAAGGCAAAGCGCAAGAAAAAAAGAAAUAAAAAAAUUCACAGUCACAUGUGGCUACACACAUCCCAACACCUAUCUGUCCAAUAAUUCAUCUCCAAUAAUUCAUCUCCAAUAAUUGCCCCUAUAUGACCACCGGUUUGUUCUUGCAUAUAUAAGAAACAGGAUAAAAUCGUAAUGCGUCAUUUAAUUAGCAGACGCAACAAGAUCCUACAGGAAAAGGGUUUGCAGGAAAAGAAAGGAAAAAAAUUGUUACAAAUUACAGAAACCCAAAUAUUCUACUAAGCUAACUCUCAUUAAAAUUCGAAGCCAUUCUUAAAUCUUAGCUUAUAGUACUACAUCAUUCCUUGUAUGUACCCCAACUGAAAUUCUCACAGAAGUCACAUUUCUUUAUUAGCCUCAACUCAUGCAUCUUUUACUUUUAAUCAGAGAUACUUUUUUAUAUGCUUGGCUUUACAACAACGAAUAAUUUUCCUUAGAUCCUUUCUAAUAGACAAGAAAGCACAAAGCACAAAAAUUGCCAUAGUUGGGUAGAUAUAAACGGCUUUUCCCGAAGCUUUGUCACAAGAAAACCUGAACAUGAUCGCUUCUCUUACAAGGCCCCAGAGCAGAAGAAGUGUCCCAAUUAGGCUCAUCCUCCGAGCUCCAAUUAAGGCUCCUGCAACAGACAAAUAGCUUCCUGCAAGAACCUAGUGUUCCCCCACAAAAAAAAGCACAAAAUGAAAUGCAAUGUACUGCUAAAAUCAAGAGAAAGGCUCCUAACAUAAACUUCUGGAAUUUCACUUUGCCCAUGGUUUUAGGACUUUUUUGGUACAAAGAUCACAUUCAAGCAUAAGGCUCGUAAUGUUCGAAAUAGCAAAUAAUUGAUAUGAAUAUGAUGGUUAAAAAGAAAAAAAAUUACAACAACCUCUAAGCGGAGGAGAUCAGCUUUCCGGGAAUUCGUUAAAUUGGUGAAGUUAUAUAACCGGAGCAAUUUGCUAUAGCUUGGAAUGUUUUUGCCCUUCAUUAUGGCACUUGCUAAGGCUCCAGGAUACAGAAGAAACUUGGCUACAAAUUCAGGGAAGACUUCACUUAUAAUCAACUGGAAGCAUGUCACCUCUAUAGGUGUCGUACAUUUUCCACUUCUACAUGGUAUCCUGCAAAAACAAACAAUACAACAUGUAUUAUACAUGUAUUUCAAGUACGAAAUAGAUCGAGAGCAUUUCUGAUGCUAUUAAGUUUAGCCAAUAAAAUCUCUACAAGACCUCUGGAAUUCGAAUUCCGCUCACAUAUGAAAGGAAUGUCAAAAAAGAAAUGUGGGUUGGAUAGGAUUUUACGUUUUAUUACUAGAAUUAAAAAUGCUGCCAUUGACAGUAAAAUAAAUUUCAUGUGAUAAUUGAAUCAUAGAAGUGAGUACGUGGUGAGAAAUAAUCACCAUUAUUAUAUAAAAUGAGAAAACAAUUAUGGAAGAAGCAGAAAGAAUUACCUGAAAAGAGGGAUUUGGAAGACAAUGAGACAAAAAUAUAAAGAAGAAGAAACUGAAGAUAUAAUGGCUGCCCAUUUCUUUGAUGAACCCAUCAAAAACGGCUUGAAAAUUAAAGAAACUGUCAAAUGCUGUGAUGGAGGGAAUUGAAACCUAAAAUAUGCAAGUUAGAUCAUGGGCCCAUCUUGAUUGAUUGAUUGAACACAUAGCACCUGACAAGUGUCCUUUAUAUACUGACAUUAGUUUUCUCUCUUAAAUUAGGAAAUUGUUUAUUGAAAAUAGCCAAAACUUAGGAGCUAUUUAUAAUUUUAGCCAGCUUUUCAUUCGUUUUAUUUUUUUAGCCAAGAAUACCCCAUUUUAGAUACAAAUAUCCUUUUGUAAAUUAUACUAUUCCGCACGUGUUUGACAUUUGUCGAAUAUCUUAUGUCUUUUUUUUUUAAUAAUUCACUGUAUGUGCUCAUCUUUAUGGCAAAGCUUAUGUUACAAAUAAUAUACCAAACAACCAAUAAAUAUAGGUUAUUGAUUUUGACAUUUCUUAAAUUCAAUAGAUGAGAAUUAUUCUAACAUAAAACCAAGUCUAGGUGUGAUAGUAAUUUAUAAAAAAUUUUAUUUUUAAUCACAUAGUUAUUUAUUUUUAAAUAAGUCCUCAUUGAUUUUGUAUAAUUAAAUGGUUUUGUUGUCCAUCUUUUCUACAUAUAUUUUUAAAUUUUAUAGAGUUUUUACCAUAUUUUUAUAAAGAUCUAACUGAUUAUCAUAUUCAUAAAGAUUUACAAAUUUUGAAUGUCUUUUUGCACAGGUAUUUAUAAUUUUGUCUCUCUUGAGACAUAGACAAUAUUUUUCUUCUAAUGCACACACACAUAUAUUCAAUCUAUUUUUUCAUCCUAAAAACAUACCAUCAAUUUUGUCACAUAAAUUUUGUAAUCUAAAUUUAGUAUCUUGAAUUAUAAGAGAUCUUAUAUGUGAUAAAUAUGUUACAAAUCUAAUAAAUUAUUAGAAAAAUGGUAUAAUGAAUAAAUUACCGGAACCUCUAAUAAUUUCACAAAACAUAAAAAUCAAUAAGUUACCACCUUCUAGCUAUAGGCAAAAAUAAUUUUUCUAUGGAAGAUUUAAAUUCUUGAUAUGAUCAAUGAUUUAGAUAUGGAGAAAUAAUCAAUUAAAUUGAAUGUCACUAUAUUUAUUAAAUAAAUUAGAAAACCCAAAUUUAUCUAUAAAUGAUAUAGAAAGUGUAAACAAUAUAUUAGAAAUUAAUAAUUGCAAUGAAGAAAAUAUAAAAAAAAUUAAAAGUUAAGAGAUCAAUUGAGUAAAUAAUUUAAUAAAGUUAAACAAUUAAUGAAAGAUUUCAACAUUGAAAAUCAUGAUAUAUUAAAGUAAGAGAUCAUUAAUAUAAUGAAUAAAAACUCAAUAUAUAUAAGAUUAAACAAGUUAGAGAUUCAAUUAAUAAAAUAAAAAUAAUUGCUGAGUAAUUUGGUAUUAAAUUUGUUAUAACUAUAAAAUGAAAAACUUCAAAAAAAAAUUGAAGUAAUUGCAGUACUGCUGCCUAGCUGCAGCUUGGGGCUGAAAGUAGAGCUUUAGAACUUAUUAAACUUUUUAACAAUUAUUAUAUUUUCUAAGGAUUUAAAACUUUAUGGCUGUAACAUACAGCGAAUGUAACGUAAGCUUUGCCCUUCUUUAUACGUUAUUACGUAAACGUAUAUUCCUCAAAAUGAAUUAUAAAGUAUCAAACGCUUUUUAAUUAAACCUUAAUGCUAAUGAGCUCACUUUAAUGAUGUACGAAUAAUAAUAGCUUGUUAUGGACUUACAGUCUUUAGACUUUUAGCAGUGCGAAGUCACAAGCAUUGCCCAAAAUCUAGUGGCAUAGAUUAUGGGCGAUAGGUGCCAUCACUCGAGUGAUUGAUGUCGUCGCCCGGGCGACAAUGUACAUCGCUGAGGCAACAAGCCACUUUGCUAGGCCCAUUGCGCCGACAGCUUUCGUCGCCUGCAUGAUGGCCAAAUCCAUCCAAUAAGUUUUUAGCCCAAGAAAAACAGCUUUGGUGACCAUCACGCAUCCCAUUUUGCUUACAAGUCGUCUUAAUUUUCAUAGAAAAUUGUUGCUAUUGAUCUUCCGAUACUGGCCUAAUACUUACAGAUAAUUAUUAAUCGAUUAUGGAAAGGCAGCAAACUUAAGGUUAAAAAAAGAAAAAAAAAACUCUUAGAGGCAAUUUAGCAAACAUCUUUUGUGCCAUGAUUUUAUACCACUAAUUCUCUAAAUAAUUGCUAAUUUUGCCCUCCCAUUACAAGUCUAAAUGAUAAUCUACUGUUGCCAAACGUAUACGCACUUGAACCCUUAAAAAAUAACUAUUCUACGCCCCAGAGGCACAGAAAAAUCUAUUUGUUUUGUCCCUGUACUCUUUUCAUUUGUUUUGUCCGCUUCCAAAUUCUAGAGAGAGAAAAAAAUUUAAAAAAAAAAGAUUUUAAUAAAUUUGAUGCCUUGUUCACCGAAUUCCUCGAUUUUAAAUAAAAUGAGUGUCCUGAUCAUGUGAUAAAGAAAUGUUUAUUUCAAUUUCCAUCCAACCCAUAUCUCAUAAAGAAUUUCUCAACCUCAAAUAAGUAAAUAAAUAUCAUCUUGUAAUAAUAUGACAUUUACGUUGAAGUAAACACCGACCCACUAUUUUCUCAAUUUUUCUUUUCUGAGGACACUAUUUUCUCAAUUGAAGAAUAUGUUUUGUCCAAAAUUCACAAUUUGCUCCACAUGAUUUAAAGCACACGGAAUUCACACUUUUCUCCACAUGAUUUAAAAGAACAGAGAAUUCUCCCGACCUUAGUUAUGGAUCUUAUUAUGUUUUUUGAAAUUCAAUAUUGCAAACUCAUUGGUGUAUCUAGAAAAUCAUAUUAGUAGAGUAAAAUUUAUAAAUAACCAAAGAAAAAAGUUCACGCUCUUACUUUAUUAUUUUUAUAUCUUAUUAGUAUAUCCAUUUACAUCUCUUCAAAAAAUACAGUUAAAAUAAGAUCAUCAAAUUGUAAAAUUUGAAGAGCAAUAUAUGGUUGCAAACAUUUUAUUUUUUUAUUUUUAAUAAUAAAUUUAAUUUUGACCUUUUUAAUGUUAGGUUGCACAUUUGGAUUAAAUCAAAUUAAAUUUCAAAUUAGAUCUUAGAUCUUAUUUUAAUAGAUUCAACUGGAUUUUGGGCAUCUAAUUAAGCAACCGGACUGAUAAAUUGCAAAUGAAUGAGAUUUGUAUGUGAUUUUAGAAUAAAAUUUUAACUUGAAUUUAUGUAUUUAACUAAUCCAACAAGACAAAUCUGCAAGUUCAACUAACUAAAUAAAAUAUGUUAUCUGAAACUUUGGGUACAAGUGGGGCAGUUUAUCACUUAGUGGCUCUGCUACUACUUAUAGUCUAUUCUUAUUCAACUUUCAGAUCUUUUAUAUUAUAUAACAAAUUAAAUUAUAUUCUAAAAAGUGUAUCUCACUGGUUAACAUAUUAUUUCUGGAUAAUAAUCAAUUUUAUCAAAUAAAAAGGAGUUUUGGUCAUUCAUUUGAUCCACCUGUGUUGACACUGUCGUACGUUACAAAAGCUUUUGUCUUUUGUGACUCAGUUUAUUGUAAAUUUUCGUUCAGCCCCUUGUACUCUAUUUUAUUUAUAAGAAUUAUAAAAUUUUCUACUUACCUAUACUAUUAAAAUUCAAUUUAUCUCCUUACAAUCUUUUUCAUUUACUGUUUUUUUGUAGUAUUAAAAAGAGUUUCUAUUUACAAUCACAAUAUAUUAAUCAUCAUAACACACUAAUAUUAAUAAAAAGACAAAAGCAUCCUUAAAUUAAUACUAAAAAAUGCUUCCCUCUCUUGAGGAAUUAUGGUAUCUCAUCUUCCAUCACUCAUUACCAACAAAAUUUUCAAGGAUAUGACCAUUCAUCUUCUUUAUAAUACCAUCUUAGAAUAAUUAAUACUUUCAUGAUAAAAGAAUUAACAAAAUAAGGAUAAAUUCCCUUUGAAUCCAUCCCUCUCCACUAUCAUUUUCUCUUCAUUAGCAACCUUUAGCAACAAUUGAAGCCAUCAUCAGACUCAUCACACAGAGAGAGUGAGAGAGAGGAAGAAGAAACGAAAGUACGUUUACUCAACAUGAAUCGAAAUGAGUUGGAAUCAGAAUGAGUUAGAAUCAUAAUGAGCUAAAAUCGAAAUGAAGAAUUGAAACCAUAAUAAGUUAUUUUCUUGAACUAUAGGAAUCGUAAUUAGAAUGAAUUAUAUUACCAUUGAUGUGUUUACUUUGUCUUAGAAUCAAAAUCGUAAUGAAUUAAAUUGUAAUAAAUUACUAUAAAAUCUUUAAUUAAUUAUUAUCAUAAUUAUUAUUUUGUAUUUUAACUAUUGUAAUUAUUAUUAUCAUUAAAAAAUUAAUUAUUACUAAUAAAUAUUGUUAAUUAUUAUUAUUAUUAACAAUUCAACUCAAAAAUUAUUAUUAAUUAUUGUUAAUAUAUUAAUUAAUUAUAAUGCUUUUUAUUGUUAAUAAUAAUAAUAAUAAUAAUAAUAAUCCAUUUAAAAAAAAUAACAGUAAUAAUCAAAAUCAUCAUCAUCAUCAUCAUCACAAUAGCAACAACAAAUCGGAAUUGGUGGUGGCAUCAUGAAUCAUGAUCAACAGUGUCGACAUCAUCAUCAUCAUCAUCAUGAAGAUCCCCGGUGAAGACAAAGAUGACGGCGACGAGGAGAUGUGGAGAUAUGCUCUUUUAAGAUGGUGAGGAGAUGAUGGCGAGAUUGUUACUGCAGUGGGCUAAAUAACGGACGGUGAAGAUGUGGAGAUAUGCUCUUUUAACAAUGUUCAUAUUGAUGCUGGAUAUUUUGGCAGCUUGUCCCAAUUCCAGAUGUGAAUGCAAUGUUCACAUUACAUUUGUUCGCCUACCAUUUAAUUUUGAACCACAAAAUCUGUGUAAAGUAGUUCACGUUUCACACUUCCUUAGCAGUUAUCAUCAGCAUUCGUCUCCCAUAUUCUCAAGUUUAAAUCAUUGGAAAAUUGAGUUAAAACAUGAUAACAGAAUCUAAAAUUUAGUGGCAUGAAGGAACAGAAGCAAUAUCGAAUGUUUCAAAUCUACAGUAUAAUUUGCUUAGUUCCCUGAACAAGAUUGAAACUUCAAAUGAGAUCAAGCAGCAAAGUGUAGAUUGGAGGUCACAUGCUUGAUAUUUGAUGCUAUCAAAAACAAUUUGCAGUACUGAAAUUGAUGCUCUAAUAAAUUUUCACAGGGAUUUCUAUAUUUACCACAAAUCUUCAGAAGUGAAACAGGAUAAAAUCAUAAUGCGUCAUUUAAUUAGCAGAGGCAACAAAAAUCCUACAAAAAAAGGGUUUACAGAAAAAGAAAGCAAAAAAUUGUUACAACCUGCAAAAACCCAAAUAUUCUACUAGCCAAAUCUUAGUUUAUACUAAUACAUCAUUCCUUGUUUGUUACCCAACCGAAUUUCUCACAGAAAUCACAUUUCUUCAUCCGCCUCAACUCAUACAUCUUUUACUGUAGAUCACAAAUACUUUUUGAUAUGCUUGGCUUUACAACAACGAAUAAUUUUCCUUAAAUCUUUUCUAAUAGACAAGAAAGCACAAAAAUUGGCAUAGUUGGGUAGAUAUGUAAAUGUGAAAAUAAUUAUGGAAGUAAGUCAAUAACAAAGAAUUAUCGGAAAAGACGGAUUUGAAAAGCAAUGAGACAAAAUAUAAAGAAGAAGAAAUUGAAGAUAGGGUAGGGCUAUUGGCUCUCUAAAAUUUAUUUUGGACAUUGAUGUGGUCUUUAAAAAAAAUUAUAUAAUUUUAUUCUUAAGUUAUCUUUAUCUCUUUGAGUUGUUAUCAUAGUUCAUUUUGAUUAAAUAAAAGUAGUUGUUGUGUUUACAUAAUUCUAAUGAACAUGGGUUUUAUUAUGCUUUUAAUCUUGAGGUCCAACUUCUAUAAGAUAGUAUUUAAACUAGCAUCAAUAUCAAUAAUAGUAGACUGAAAUAUUUUGUUUAGAGAUUGAGUAGUUGUAUUGGGAGAUAUCUAGUCCCUCAAAGUACCAAAAAUAUAUUUAUUAAAGCUUAGAUUCCUCAAAUUAACCCAUUUAUCACUUAUUCUUUUUAUUUUGUUUGAUUUCCUAUUGCAAUAAUUUGUGUCUGUAAGACUAUAACAGACACUCACAUUUUAAUAGUUCUUUAUUUCACUAAAUUAACCUCAAUGUAAUUUACUAUUGAGGACAAUUUAAUAAAAUAUAGUUCAAUAAAUUUUUAUCCAACGUCUUAUUUUAUCUACAAUAAACUAGAUCAACGAUGAAGAAAUGAAUGAAAGUUCAUAUGAAAACGCUAUCUGUACUUAUGGACUAAACCUUUUUUAUUUUUUAUUUUUUAUUUUUUAUUUUUUAUUUUGUUAAUAGAAUUGCUAGGAAAACAUCAUGUAAUACGUUCCAUCUUUUGUUACAAAAGGAAUUAAAAACAGAGGUGGAGGAAGAACAAUAAAUUGCACCACUACAAUAUAUGAAAAAGGAAAGAAAUCAAAGGAUAAAAUUUGUUUUAAAUUUGCUUUCUGAUCUUCACUCUUAUCUAAUCCGCAUUCUUUCAUGGAUUUGAAAAACAAAAUUGAAUUGCGACAUUGAAGAGAAGAACAAACAUAUGUCAAACCAUAUUAUGAAAGCAAAAUAAAAGUUGAUAAAAAUGAAAAAAAGUUCAAAUAUUUUGUUUGUGAUGAUGAAUAUUUUAUUGGAUGUAAAGAGGAAAUAAGGUAAUUAAAAAAAUAGGUAAUGAGAACAAUAUAGGAAGUCGAAAAAUAUUCCAAAUAAAAAUUAAUAUUUUGAAAUUAUUAACUGAUAUUCAAAAUAAAUUUUAGAAUGCAAGUACCGCAUCGCUGCCCAUUUCUUUGAUGAACCCAUUAGAAACGGCUUUAAAAUUAUAGAAACUGUAAAACGCUGUAAAACUGUUAACUUUAAAAAGCUUGCUAUAGUCUUUAAACCUUUAAUAGUGCAAAGUCACAAGUCUUGCAGCUAAAACUAUGAGUUGUAUACUCUUUUUUUUAUAAUGUUACUAGAACUGUUAUUAUCUUAUGUCUAUGUACGUAUGUUUACAAUAUAUUUCAUAAAUUUACUGAGAUAAGUGCAGAAAUUUAAUCCAAAGUACAUCCAAUCUAUUGUCACUAACUCUAAGGCCCUAUUUAGUAUUUAGAUAAUGUAGUUAUUGUGAAAAAAUCCAGUAACUACAAAAUAAAAAUUAAUAAUAUAUAGUAAUAUGACUUGUAAAUAAUAAUUUAAAAAAUACUAAAGAAUUAUAAGUUUUUCAAAAUAAAAGUGGUGGAAUAAAUUAAUUUAGUUUUCAAGUAACAGCAAGUAAUGUUUACUUAAUAUAAAAAGCUAUAAUUGUCCAAUCUCAAUAAGAACCUGAGUAUUUUAGCAAAAAUAUACUUUUAUUUCAUAUUUUACCAAUAUCCUCACCAUUAUUCAGAGCACCAACCUUUAACUAUCUUCGAUUCUAUUUUUUGUUAUAACUUUUUAAGUAGAGCUUUUACUAAAAAAUAAUGGUUUGGUUAUCAAUGAGAAUUUUUAUUAAAAUUUAUAAAAUUACUUUAAUAGGUAAAUUUCUUAAAGUUAUGUUAUGAAAUGAAUUAAAUAAAAUUGUGAAAUAUAUAAAGCAUAUUUUAGACAAUAUAAUAUUUUAAAAAAACUUAACCUCUACUUCAAAAAACUUAAAAUUUAAACUUUUACUAAUAUAGAUAAAAUAACUUAUUUAAUUUUAAAAAAAAUUUACUCAAAUUUUAUAAAAAAAUAUUAAGUUUAAAAAAAGGUUAUAAGAUUAAAUAAAUAAAUUUGACCGAAUGUACACUAACUCUUAGAAAAUAAAUAUUUUGCACUACAGAGGUAAGGUUCAAUUAUGUUGCAACUGAGAUAUUGUACCAUAUAUAUUUUUUUUUUUUGGGAAAUUGCCAAUUUUCUCCCUACAGUAAUCAACAUAUACCACUUUUCUCUCUGUUGUUUUUAUAAUGGCCAAAAACCCCCCUGACAGCAUAAGUUUACAAUAUUACCCUUAUUUUCAACUACUCAUUUAUUUUCAUUUAUUAUAAAUUAAAUAAAUCACAUGAAUAGAAAUUAAAUAAAAAAUUAAGCAUUUAAAAUAAGAAAUAUAUGUUUUGAUAUGAGAAAAAAAUUAAUAAUUUUUUUCUUGUACUUAUUUAUUUUGUGAAAAUUUUCUUAAAAUAAAUAUAUAAGAAAGUUAUUAUAAAAUGAUAAAAAAACUUAUUAUAAGAAAAUUUGAAUGACAAAUAAAAAUUUAUUAUAAGAUAAAUAAUAAAAUAUUUUACCUAUAUUUUUUACAUUUAAUUUUAAAAUAUUACAAAAUGUUUAUUAUAAGAAAAUGUUCACAAAAUAAAUAAUUACAAAAAAAAUUUAUUAUUAAUUUUUUUGCUCAUAUCAAAACAUAUAUUUCUUAUUUUUAAUACUUAAUUUUUUUAUUUAGUUUCUAUUCAUAUAAUUUAUUUAAUUUAAAAUAAAUGUAAAUAAAAGAGUAAUUAAAAAUAAGAGUAAUAUUAUAAAUUUAUGUUGUCAGAGAAAUUUUUGAUCAUUAUAAAAAUAAUAAAAGAGUAAAUGAUAUAUGUUAAUUAUUAUAGCGGGGAAAGUGGCAAUCUCCUUUUUUAGUAUUUAACAAAGUUCUUGGGUGCUUCCCAGUUCAAUCCAGCGGCUGAAAUUAAUUAUUGGAUAAUUGAUGCAGCAACUGACAACCGUUGCAGCUGGUUGUAUAUUAAUUUAAUAGCAGUUCAACAUGCGUGGGUUCCGAAAAUUUCUUAGUCCUGAUUAGGGUUUCACUAAUUCCAUCUGAAAAUUGAUCUCGCAACAGCAAUUAAGACAUAAAAUUAGAAUUAGAGGAUCGCUUUUUUUUUUUGGGAAUUAAAAUUUCCCGAUGAUUCAUAUUCAUCGGGAAAUUUUUUUUGAAAAGAUUUAAAACUUGUAAUUAGCUUGCAAGAACACUGCGUUUGUUUAUGAGAAUCAGAGAAAGUGAGAUUGGUAACAAUGGUUCGGUAAUUUCAUUACAGCAAUGAGGCGGGGGCUCACAAACAGAAAGCUACCGAUUUAAAGAGCUACAAUCAAGCUUUAGAAGCCGAUGGUAACAUAGUUAGAACAAUAGAAUCUGAUAGCUUUAGGGAUUCAUAAGCUAUUUGUAAGUAUUUGUACUCCCUGACUAAAUAAUUUGGGAAUAUAAGGAUGCAGUAAGAGUUGAGUGGUCUUUACUCCCAUAGCAUUAUUUUUUUCUGUGGUCUUUAUUCCCAUAGCAUUAUUUUUUUCUCACUUCAUCAGUGCUCUGUUCAAUCUUUAUGUGCCGCUUGUUAUGUUCCUGCAUAUCUAAUUACUUUUGGAUGAUAGUUGAUAUUUGACAAAUUUGCAGGUUAAGGAUAUUAGAUGGGACGCAGAGCUUGGUAGUCAGAACAUGGAAUUACGGUUGGUUGAAUACUUUACAGAUGAGUUUAAUAAACAAGUUGGUAAUUGGGUGAAGUGAGGAAGUCUCCCAAGGCCAUGGCUGAACUGAAGAAGCAAGUUAAAUAUACAAAAGCAAUUCUUUGUGCGAACACAAUAGAACCAAUAUCAGUUAAAUCUCUCCACGAUGAUAGGGACUUCAGAUAGGUGGAGUUCAAGUUCAGAUUUUAUUGUUUGAGGUGCGUUUUAAGUUUAUUAACAAAAUUAAUGUGUUCUUUAAAUGAGUGAGGAACUGUAGAACAUGACAAGUAGAGUUUAUUGUGUGAGGGAUGCAUAUUCUCUUACAAGUGCUUUGUUCUUUAAUAUAGCACUAUAAGACAUCUUCUGAUGAAAAAUAGAGUCAAUAAAAUUACUCCAGACUGACUGGGCCCUUGGAUUCCAAUUCUUGCAUGAGAUAUCUUUUUCCUUUUAUUCUUUUUUCAAAUUUACUAGUGGUACUUUCAUUUGGUAAACUAUUCUAUAUAUAUAUAUAUAUAUAUAUAUAUAUAUAUACUCUAAUCAAUUAUAUUGGCUUAUUCUCCUUUUAUGUUGAUUCACACUGCUGGUAUAUAUAAAAUUUAUUUAUUAGUUUUGGUGAAAAUUUUGUUUUGUUGCACACGGAUAGUAAACCCAAAUACAUUCAUAUGCAUAUCUGGGGUUUGUUUUGUCUUUUAGGAGCAGCAUUACCUGUCAAAAGUUCAAAGAGCUCUAUGAACUUAAGCAUUCAGGGUUGAAAAUGGACAAGAUAUAUGCAGUGGAGUUCAUUGGAAGAGCUACUAUAGUGCCAAAGUUGCAGGUUUGCACCAUCCGCUUUGUUUUGGUAGUUAGCCCGAGUAUUAAAUUCUUGAGGCGUGUAAGGUAGUGGACUUUAGCCAAUUCAAGAGUAGAAUAUAAUAUGUUUACUUGUUUUGAUCUUAAUCUUUAAUCACUUACCCUGAAUAAGAAAUAAUUUUUUGUAUUUGCUCUGCUAUGAUGUUAUUCGGUGUUAAUAGCUUCGUUUUGUUGCUCUUUUCCGCACAGAUUCUUGAUCUCAAAAGAACUUUUAUUUUGAAUAUUCUACAUAAGGACAAUCUGAUUUAAUACCAUCAGUGAUUUUUCAUUUUUUCUCUUUAGUUUUAAUAUGUUUGAUAACUGUAUGGUUAAGCAAUCUAUGCAAUUUUAUCUUGUCGUAUGUUUGAGCUCAUUUUUUGAUGCAAUUCUGAAUAUUUGGUAUGAAUUAUGUGAUACCGGACAAUACUAUUAACUUGUUAAUUGCUUAAAUUUAAUAUAUUGUCAAAGUCACUAAUAGCAUUUCAUCAUGCAAUGAGUUAAACAUGGAACAAAUGAUGACAUGCGGUUGUGGAAUGUGUUAGAUCUCUGGGAUUCUAUGUCCUUAUGCUUGCAGGGCAAAACAAUACAUUCGUUAAAACAUUGAAGACUGUGAUGUCCACAGAAAAUUAUAUGUCAACUUAUGCACCAGACAUGAUGAAAUUAGCCAAAGACAGUGUUUGGAAGUGGCAAGCAAGUGACAAUUUGCUUCUACCAAUGACUUCAGAUCUCAAACCUGUUUCAAGCAAGGCCAGCAAUGACAUCAUGUUCAAAACAGUUUAGCCAGACACACCUGUUCACACCCCUCUACUACAUAUAACCUAGAGGUACAUUUUUUCUAUACGAUUGGCAUUAGGCUUAUCCAGUUCAAUACAGUAUUUCACAAAACUUAUACCAACUUAUUCCUAAUUAUAGUGGACACAAUUAACUUACUUUGGCAACUGUUCUGAAGAGGCUGACAUCAACUACCAGUGAUGACACUCUCUUGUAAUGUUUUGGUGCUAUCUACUAAAUACUACUACUACAUAAUAUUGACAAUUCGUCUGUGUGCAGGCCCGUGAUAACCAUUUAGAUCGACCAGAAACCAAUAAGAUAUUGUAAUCACAAGCAAUCACCCAUCUCUUUGGAUGGUGCUCUAUUGUGAUUCUUUCCUCUAUGACUGUUAAAUAAGCAAUGUAUUGCACUUUUGUUAUGCAAAAGUAUGGCGACCAUGUAUCAACUAGUGUAUCUAUUUUAUACACUAAUUAUGAAUUACUAGAAAUUUUAUUACAUUAAUCAUUUUUAGAUAGUUACUCAUCUCAAACGAAAUAAACUGUUCAGGGACACUUGACCCAACAUGCUUGUGACCGACCUUAGAAUAAAUUUUUGUCACUCAAUAUAGACAACUUCUACGAGGUUAAUAUUUCUUCAAAUUUCAACAAAAUCAUUGGCCACAGGAAUACAUACACAUGUUUCCUUUGGCAUGUUAAGUAGACGGGAGCAACAUGUGGGCUGUACGCCAUUACCUUAAACGAAGCAAAAUUAUCUUGUGUUUAUCAAAGUUUGAAACCAAUUCUGAGUUAAUUACAAAGAAUGUAUGAAUAACGCAUUAUACUCAUACACCAAACUUUAAUCUGAUGGAAUCAAGUAAUUCUAUGUUAAUCAAAGUUUUUAGACUUACAAGAUGAUGGUCAAGUUUAUAUAAAAGCAAAUAACACUGAAAUCUAAUCAUCCUAUACAAACAAAUAUGAUUUAUUCAAUUAUAGCAAACAAUUGUUUUAUCGGAGUUAAUUACAUUAUUGCUAAACUUGUAUAAGCUUUCCUGUUUCAAACAUGUCUACUUAAUUACAUUAUUCAUCGACAAUGUUACUUUGCCCGUGGAAGUUUCAUUUUUUCAUACCUUAAUCACUAUUUAACGCUUCGUUUUCCAAUAGUUCUAAUUCUUCAAAUUUUGGCUUUAUUAUUCCAUAAUUAUAAAUUGAUACUAAUUUGCAGGACUCAAAUUAAAGUGGUUAAUUACUCUAAAGUAUAAUUCUAGCAGUCAAUAAUUACAUAAAAAUAAUUGCAAAAAAAAGUUAAUAAGGAAUAGUAUAAAUUUAAAAACCGCCAAAGUUACGAGAUAUAUGCUUGAUAUUUAAAUCAUGGCCAUAAUAUAUAUAUAUAUAUAUAUAUAUAUAGAUAUAUAUUAUGUGAUUCAGUUCUUAAUUAACCAUUCUAUGAAUAAAUAUGAGAAUUAAGUACAUAUUAUGCCACAACCUUAUUGAAGUGUUCCCACUACAAUAUUAGUAGUCAACAUUAGGUCUAAACACCCACAUAAAUCCAAGGGAUCUAGAUCUACAAAUAUUAACCACUCUAUGAAUAAACAUGGGAAUGAAGUACAUAAUUGCCACGGCCAUAUUGGAAUGUUUCCACUACCAUAUUCGUGUGUCAAUGUUGCGUCUAAACAUUUAUAUACAUCCAAGCAAAUUUAUAUUUGUAAAUAAAUAUAAAUAUGGAAUGAAAAUAAUAGGUAGAAAAUAUAAAUUACAAACAUUAAACUUAAAAUACAGUUGAGAAAGUAAUUAAAUCCACAAUUUAGAUCCUUGAAUUUCACACUCAUCACCUUAGCUUAAAAAAUUAGCCACUCAUAUUAAUAAACAAAACAUUCAUUUUAUUUAAUAAAUUUGUAAAAGUAUAAUACAAAAAAAUUAAAAUAAAGAAGAAGAGCAAAAAAACAAUAUCUUCUUAUUAACUACACUUCUUCAUAAAAUUCACUCUAAAUUUACACUAAAUUUCUCUAGGAAACUCACCUCUAAAAUUCUACACCCCGAAUUAUCAAAUCUCUUGCCUCUAUAUAGGCAAAUUCUAGGUUGAUCAUGUGUGGGCAUUUAGAUGAUAUUUUUGGUGAACUUGCAACCACAACCUUUAGAUGACCUUUGAUAAUCCAAAUACAAGCCAAGGGGUCCAAAAUUGCAAGUAUUGACAUGCAUAAUAAAACCGUUGAUUCAACAUAAUCAAUGGUUAUAAUGAAGUCAAAUCUGGAUCCUCCGUUGGAUUUUUUUUUUAAUUCAAGGUGGUUGAACCACUAAAUUGAUAAGUAUUAAAUCUAGUGUAAAUAAGUGCAUGUGAACUUAGACACACGACACGAUAUCAGCUUUUCAAAAUUAAUAUUAGAUAAAACGGCUACCAAUUCUUUUAAAAGUUAAAAUUAUAAUUUUUACUUUUAUUUAAUAUAUACUUUCUAGUAUUAAUCAUUGAUGAACAAUUUUUUAUUUCAUCGCCGUCUAGAUUGCCUUUAUCUUACACAAAUUUGUUUAAAACCUUUAAAUAGUUUCUAACCACUACAUAAUUUUAUCUGUCGUCCUUAAUCUUGUUAUCCACAACUGACCAACAUAUUGUUACCUAUCAUUAUAGUUGUGUAAUUCACCUUUUGUUAACUGGUUUCCUAAUAUAUUUUAAAAGAAAUGUGGCCAUCUGUUGCUCGUUGGAUCACUUGCUUUUAAAUCCAAUAAUUCCGUGAGAUAAAGACAAAACGCUUGCUAUAGUGCUACAGUUACAACAUAGACGUGGCUGUAGAGGCAGGAAAAAAAUCUAUUUGUUUAGUUACUGUACACUUUUUCAUUCAUUUUGUCCACUGCCAAAUCUUCGAGAGAAACAACACAAAUAAAAAAAGAUUUUAAGAAAUUUGAUGCCUUGUUCGCCGAAUCUCUCCACUUUUAAUUAGUGUCGUGAUCCUGAUCGUGUGAUCUGGUGAUGGUAUGACAAUUACUUUGGAGAAAACACCGGCCCACUUUGAAUAAAAUAAAUUUUAUACCAAAUGAAUCAUAAGGCAAAACACUGCACUUACCUAUCCAUGCUGAUUAAACCCCCUCGCCGACACCUCUGCUCUCACCAUCAAGGCAUCAACACUUAAUAAUGACAAUUGGUUGUGUUAGCAUUUUGGUCAAAACGCUGGACCCCCCGGCCCCCACAAAAAACAAAAAAAAUUUAUGAUAAUAAUAACAUUCAUAAAUAAAAAUUAAUAAUGGGUGUGUUAGCAUUUUGGUCAAAAGCCGAUUUGGCCUUCACAUUAAUUGGAAUUUUGGAUCUAUAAUAUGAUUUUCACCGAAAAGAUAAUUUUGCCGCUAAUUAUUUGGGUAGUCAGAUAAUAAUAACAAAAAAAAAUGUUAUCUCUCACCUAUAACUUGAGGAGAUAAUAAUAAAAGUCUUUCAUCAUACUAUACUGUUUAGUUUCUCUUCUUCAUUUUUUUCCCCUUUGAAGUCUUUCAACAAAAAUGGGUGGCAUCAUCUCAACCUUCUUCUCAGCGGACACAAUUCGUCCAAUUUUAUUUUACGUCGGUGGACAAGCAAAGUAUAUAUGGGGUCUUAUAGGUAAUCUCGAUGACUUGCAAACUGAAAAGGAGAACUUGAUUGCAAAAAAACUAGAUCUACUGAAUAAGGUUAGGCUUGCUGAACAACAACCCCGAAACAGACGGACACCGACGGUGGAACUUUGGUUUAGAAGGGUGGAAGAAAUAGAAACUAAAGUUGAGAGGCUGCAACAAGAAAGAGAUCAAGAGAUUGACAGAUUGUGUCUUGGAGGCUUCUGUUCCAAGGACUUGAUUUCAAGCUACGACUUCGGCAAAAAGGUGGAGAAGUUGAAGGAAGAAGUAAUCAAAUUGUGGGAAAAAGGAGAAGCAAUGAAAGAAGUUUAUGAGGGGGUACCAGAAGGUGCAGCGGUUGCAAUGGCUGUUGACCGAACAAUUGUUGGUCAAGAAUCCAUACUUGACCAAGUUUGGAGAUGCAUCACUGAGCAAAAAAAGAAUAAUGGAAUUAUUGGCUUAUAUGGUAUGGGGGGCAUCGGCAAAACUACUCUGUUAAAACAAGUCAAUAACAAAUUCUGCAGUGAGGAGCAUGAUUUUGAUGUCGUUAUCUGGUCGGUUGUAUCUAGAGAGCCAAACUUGAUGCAGAUUCAAGAGGAUAUUGGGAAAAGGAUAGGCUUCUCAAAAAAUUCAUGGCAGGAUAAAAGUUUUGAAGAAAGGGCUUCAGACAUCACCAACACUUUAAAGCAUAAGAAGUUUGUAUUGUUAUUGGAUGAUAUAUGGGAGUCCGAAAUUGAUUUAACCAAAUUGGGCGUCCCUCUUCAGACACUAGAUUCUGGGUCCAGAAUAGUCUUCACAACUCGUUUUGAGGGUACUUGUAGUAAAAUGGGAGCCCAUAAGAAUCGGUACAAAGUGUUUUGUUUGGGAGACGACGAUGCCUGGAAAUUAUUUGAGGGGGUGGUCGGGAGAUACGUUCUUGACAAGCUUUCCGACUUUCCGACGCUAGCCAAGGAUAUGGCACGUCAGUGUCAUGGUUUGCCGUUAGCACUCAAAACAGUAGGCAAUGCCAUGGCGAGCAAAGUGUACCCUGAAGAAUGGAAAGAAGCAAUUGAGAUCCUAAGCGCAUCAGCUUCUAAAUUCGAAGGUAUGGAGAAAAAGGUGCUUUCGAGCUUAAAGUUCAGCUAUGAUAGUUUGCCGAAAGAUGAACUUCGAUCUUGUCUCCUGUACUGUUGUUUAUUUCCCGAAGACUAUGAAAUUGAAAAAACCGACUUGAUGGAGUAUUGGAAAAGUGAAGGAUUUCUGGAUUCCAGCAGCGGGUGGGGGGUUCUUGGUGCUCUCGUUCGUGCAUGCUUAUUGGAGGAAGGAGGUGACCAUGUAAAAAUGCACGAUAUGAUCCGUGACAUGGCAUUAUGGAUAGCAAAUGAAAUAGAGGAGGAGGAGGAGAACUUUUUGGUUCGUGCAGGAGUUGGAUUAACUGAAGCCCCAAAGAUUGAAGAAUGGGAAGGGGUCAAAAGGAUAUCUUUGAUAGAUAAUGAAAUUCGGAGUCUACCAGAAAUUCCCACUUGUCCGCGCCUGCAAACAUUGCUUCUGGAAUAUAAUUGUAUUAAGGAGAUCACGGACAUUUUCUUUCAAUCCUUGCCUUCGCUUAGAGUUUUGAAUCUAAGUGGAAAUGAUUCCCUAACUGAACUGCCUGUAGGGAUUUCAAGUUUGGUUUCAUUACACCAUCUUGAUCUGUCUUGGACUGAAGUGCGCGGAUUGCCGCAAGAGCUCAAGGCAUUGGUGAAUCUGAGAUAUUUGAACUUGGAGUAUACAUAUGAAAUGCGUAAAAUUCCACAGCAGCUGAUAUCAAGCUUUUUAAAGUUACAGGUACUCAGGAUGCUGUGUUGCGGUCAAAGUCACCAGCCAAUAGUGGAAGAAGGCAACGUUCUAUCUGAUGAUGCUGAAUCAUUGAUGAAGGAAAUCCACUGUUUGGAACAAUUAAAUCUCAUCACCUUGUCCUUACAUGGUUCGCGUGGUGUUGAAAACUUUCUGAAAUUCCCAAAGCUGCAGAAUAUCACUCAAGCUCUGCACAUCAAAGACUGCAACAGUCUACCGCUCAAUUUGUUGCAUCUAGCAAACAUGGAGCAUCUUGAGGAGUUAGAUAUCGAGGAUAGUAAUUUGGAAGACUGGAAUGUCGACUGCGCGGGAGAGGUACAAAAAAUGCGUAAACUUCACUCGGUUGCCAUACGGAAUUGCUCAAAUGUGAAGGACUUGACGUGGCUUGUUUUUGUUCCAAAUCUCAAGUGGCUGCAAAUAUUUCAUUGUGAUGACAUGGAAGAAAUAAUCAGUGUUGAAAAAUUGAGUGAAGUUUCAGAGAUGAUGGGAGGGCUUAACUUGUUCGCAAAACUCGAACUUCUGAUAAUAAAAAAUGCAAGUAAUUUGGAGCGCAUCUACCGCGAUCCCUUGCCCUUUCCACAGCUGGAGACAAUUUCCAUAUCGCUAUGCCCAAAGUUGAAGAAGCUCCCGCUCAAUUCCAGCAGCGCAAAGGGACGUAAAAUUGCCAUUUACGGGGAGAGAAAAUGGUGGGAAGAGCUACAAUGGGAGGAUCAAGCCACUCAAAAUGCUUUCUCGCCCUGUUUCCUACCUUUAAGAAUAAUGAAGUACAAUAAGGAGCAAGAGUGUGAAUAAAAUUCCUGCGUGUGCUUAAUGAUUAUCUUGUCUAUCCAUUUCAUUUAAUUUAAAAGCUUUCUACGGUGUUGCGUGUGUGUCACUUGUCAUUCUUCUGCACUGCUGUUUCCUAUUUCCAGUUGAUAAAAUUUUUUUGUUCUUAGAAAUGCUUUGCUGGUAAUAUAUUCUAUUUACUUUCCUCCUAUUUUCAUUACAGCUAAUAAUUGCAUAGUUGUAUAAUUUUUUAAUAUUAUCUUUAUUUUUAAAUAUACUUUUAUUUAUAUUUAUUAUAAAUUAAAUAAAUGUAUGAAUAGAAAUUAAAAUGAAAACUAAGUAUUAAAACAAGAAAUAUAUAUUUUGAUUUGAAUAAAAAUAUAAAUAUUUGUUUGUACUUUUUUUAUAUAUAUUCAUUAUAAGAAAAUAUUUAUAAAAUAAAAAGUGUAAGAAAAAUAUCUUAUUAUUAAUUUUUAUUCACAUCAAAACAUAUAUUUCUUACUUUAAAUACUUAAUUUUUUAUUCAAAUUAUCAUUCAUAUGAUUUAUUUAAUUUAUAAUACAUAUAAAUAAAAAUAAUAUUGUAAAUUAUGUUGUUAGAAAUUAUUAGUUAUUAUAAAAAUAAUAUGGGAUAAAUGGUAAAUCGGAGAUAUUGUUUCCUAUUUUCAGCUAAAAAAUUUAUUUGUUCUAAUAAUUGCUUUGCUAGUAAUAAGGCCUGCAAGUUGCUUAACUGAAUAUGACUUCUUUUUUAAAAAUGUUACUAUCAAUUUCGAUGAUUGAUUAUCUCGAAGUAGUGAAAUUUAUGUAAUGUUGGUAUUAAAAAAAUUUGUGCUACUGAUAAAAAAAAGUCCAUUAGAUUCGGCCUAAAUGACGGAUCGUGGCUUGAUUUUCUCAUCCCAAAGGCUCUGUAUCUCACUUUCGAAAGUAGUUUUAGCAUAAUGUAGGUGAAAAAUUAAAAUAUUCUGCGAUCUCUAUAUAGCUUUUCCAACAGAUUUCACCCAUUUGACUGUAGACCAAAGCAUCCAUUGGAUCGAUGCAUUUAUUAAGAAGAGGAUCAUUCGGAGCUACAAUUGGAGGAUCGAGUCACGCAAAGAGUUUUCUCUACUUGUUUCGAUCCUAUGGAGAUAGAGUUUUCAUAGAUUGAUGGUAGGAGCUUUUUUGUCAAUUUAUGUAUCUAAUUGUGUUUAACAUGCUUUCUUGUCUUUCAUAUCAGACAUUGUAAAUUUGUGAUGUUGCCAUUUUCUUUUUCCUAUCAAGAAAGAAAGAGCAUUGCGAGUAGUCUUUCCAAUUUUCACUCCUUUUUGGUAUGUGAAGAAAAAUAAUAAAGCAAAACAAACUAGUGUUGGAGAAAAAGAAAAUGACAAGUUCAAUAGGGCAAAAGUUCAUCAUCCCUUUACCAUUUGCUCAAGCAAGUAAGCUUUACGUUUACUUCUUGAGAUUUGAACUAACCAGACAACUUGUAAUGUUACCAUAAAGUUCAAAGAUUAGAAGAGAAAAACUUAUGUCUGUUAGGCACUAUUAUUCAGGCUUAAAUAAUAACAAUAAAAUACUACACCAUGUCUGCUCUCUUUUACUUUUCUUGGUUCUGUUGUAAAAUUCAGUUCUAUUUGAAGGAAAUUAUUAACAUCAAAACUAAAUACUUCGUGAGCAUCUACUGACAACAUACUCCAGAUGACACCAUAACCAUAUCAUAUAAAGCAAGAAAUGUGAAAUAAAUACAAAAUGAAUCAUAGGAGGGAAUUACCACACUCUGCGGUCUCUCCUGCUAAACCCUGCAGUUAGAAUGCCAUUUGUCGUGAGCACCCGAAUCCCCAAAGGACUCCCAGCUUCAGGUGGCUUUGACUUAGCUUGCUUUAGCUCCAUUGCACAUACUCACUCACAUGAAGGAAAUGAACAGAACAAGAAACCUCAUCAUGCCGAAUAUGAUAGAUAUGACAAGGCAUUACACUGUAGGAAGCUCCCGAUUUCUCUACAAAACUCUGCAGGUUCUCCACAAUCAAGGCGUGCUCCAUCUUUAACAGAUCACUUCUACCAUUAAGAGAAGGAAGAGAGUUCCUCUCGUGUGGCAGUAAAUCCUUACUUAACACAGGAUUGAAGCCAACCAAGAACGGAAGGCAAUUUCGUUAGAUUAAGAACCGAAUCACCAUCCAUUUGAACCAGAACUCUUGUUAAAUUCUUGAAAUCUCCUGCUUUCAUCAGUCUGUAAGAGAAAUGAAGAUGAGAAUAAUAGCCAGAACCGGAUUAAAUUCAAUCUGGUCUUUUGAAGACUUCUAUAACAACUAAGAGAACCCAGUGUACCGCCUACAGAUACUGCCAGGCUUCUAUCAAAUAUCCCAAACACCAAAAACCAACCAAAUUAAGCUAACAAACCUGCAUGAAUAUCUAAAUUUCAAUGCACAUGAAACAAACUCCGUCUUCAAUCCACCAAAACUAGCAAAUUUCAAACUUUAUCACUCAUCAUUCUCUCUCUGUCAGCUGUACGAGGCUAUGAGAUCAUGUUAUAAUGUUCAUAUUGAUGCUGAAUGUUUUGCCAGCUUGUCUGAAUUCCAUAAGAGAAUGCAAUGUGCACAUUAUUGUGCCUUGCCCACCAGUAGAUUCUAAACCACAAAAUCAUUCUGUGAAGUAGCUGACGUUUCGCACAUUCUUAUCCCUUAUCAUCAAUAUUCUUCUCCUCAAGCUUAGAUCAUGGAAAUUUGAGUGACAAACAUGAUAACAUCGUAACACCAUCAAAACUUUAGGGGCAUAAAGUAACAUAGAAGCAACAUGGGAUGUUUUAAAAUCUAUUAUAAUUUGCUUAGGCCCCUGAAUAAAAUUAAAACUUGUAAUGAAAUAAAGUAGCAAAAUAAAGAUUGGAGGUCGCAUGCUUGAUAUUUGAUGCUGUCAAAAUUAAUUUGCAGUGCUGAAAUUGCUGCUCCAAUAAAUUUUUCAAUGGGAUUUCUAUAUUUACAACAAAUUUUCAGUAUUGAAACAGGAUUAAAAUCAUAAAGUGUCUUUUAAACAGCAGAGGCAACAAGAUCCUACAGAAAAAGAAGGCAAAAAGUAGUUACAAGCUACAGAAACGCAAAUAUUCUACUGGCCAACUCCCACUAAAUUCGAAGCGAUUCUAAAAUCUCAGCUUGUACUACGACAUCAUUCCUUCUAUGUGGCCCAACUGUACUUCACCCAGAAAUCACAUUUCUUCAUCAGAGAUAAUUUUACUUCUAAUAAGAGAGAAUUUUUUAUAUGCAUGGCUUUACAGUAAUGAAUAAUUUUCCUUAAAUCUUUUCUAACAGACAAGAAAGCACAAAGCACAAAAAUUGAUAUAAACAACUUUUCUCGAAGCUUUUUCAUAAGAAAACCUGAACAUGAUUGCUUCUCUUAGAAGGCCCCCUAGCUUCCUGCAAGAACCUUGUGCCCCCAAAAAAAACAAAGGAUUAUAAUUAGGCAUAAGGCUCCCAAUGUUCUUGCAGGAAUUAUGAUGAAUAUGAGAGUUUCAAAAAAGAAAAAAAAAUAUUACGACAACCUCUAGGCGGAGGAAAUCAGUUUUCUAGGAAUUCGUUAGAUUGGUGAAGUUAUAGAACCGCAGCAAUUUGCUGUAGUUUGGAAUGUUUUUGCCUUUCAUUAUAGCAUUUGAAAAGGCUCAAGGAUAUAGAAGAACCUUGGCUACAAAUUCAGGGAAGAUUUCACUUAUAAUGAGAAAUAAUCACCAUUAUUAUAUACAAUGAGAAAACAGUUAUGGAAGAAAUAGAAAGAAUUACCCGAAACGGAGGAUUUGGAAGACAAUGAGACAAAAGUAUAAAGAAGAAGAAAUUGGAGAUAUAAUGACUGCCUAUUUCUUUGAUGAACCCAUCAAAAACGGCUUGAAAAUUAAAGAAAUUGUAAAAUGCUGUAACGGAGGAAUUGAAACUGUAAAAGAUGCAAGUUAAUUCAUGGGGCUGGCCAUCUUGAUUGAUUGAACACCUAUUAGAUUUUUAAUAUUAAAGAACUCACUUUAAUGAUGUUUAAUUGGUAGUAGCCCUUUAUAGUCUUUAAACCUUUAGCAGUGCAAAGUCACAAGCUUUGUCCAGAAUCUAAUGGCGUAGAUUAUAGGCGAUGGGUGCCAUCACCUGGGCAACGACGUACAUCGCUUGGGCGACAAGCCAAUUUACUAGGCUCAUCGCAAACAGCCUUCGUCGCCUGGGCGAUGGCCAAAUCCAUCCAAUAAACUUUCAGCUCAUGUUUGAUAGUCUAAAAAAAGUAGUUAUGGUGGCCAUCACACAUCACAUUUUACUGACAAGCUGUCUUAAUUUUCAUAGAAAAUUGUUCCUACUGAUUUUCCAAUACUGGCCUAAUACUUGCAGAUUAUUAAACGAUUAUGGAAUGGCAGCAAACCGGCGCCGCAGGGGGGGGCCGGCCGGGGUUGUUGUGCCAAUUUGGGAGGGGUAAUAAACCCUCUGAGGCAAUUUAGCAAACAUAUUAUCCACUUCCAAAUAAAACAGAUUCUAGUAAAUGCGAUAAAGAAAUGUUUAUUUCAAUUUCCAACCCAGAUCUCAUAAAGAAUUUCUCACUCUAAUAAACAAAUAAAUAUUAUCUGGUAAUGGUAUGACAUUUAUUUUGAAGUAAACACUGGCCCACUAUUUUCUCAAUUUUCCAUUGUUUGAGGACACCAUUUUCUCAAUUGAAGAACAUGUUCUGGCCAAAAUUCACAAUUUUCUCCACGUGAUUUAAAGCACACAGGAUUCACACUUUUCUCCACGUGAUUUAAAAGCACACAGAAUUCUCCUGACCUUAAUUACGGAUCUUAUUAUGUUUAUUGAAAUCCAAUAUUGUAGACUCAUUGUUGUAGCUAGAAAAUCAUAUUAAUAGAGUAAAAUUUAUAAAUAAUCAAAGAAAAGAGUUCACGCUCUUACUUCAUUACUUUUAUAAUCUUAUUAGUAUAUCUACUUACAUGUCUUCAGAAAAUACAGUUUUAAGAGGAUAUUUUUAUUUUUCUUCGUAAUAAUAGAUUUAAUUUUCAUCUUUCUAAUGUUAAGUUGCAUAUUUGGAGUAAAUAAGAUUAAAUUUCAAAUUAGAUCACAGACCCCAUUUUAAUAGAUUCAAUUGGAUUUUGGACAUCUAAUUAAACAACUGGACUAAUAAAUUGCAAAUGAAUGAGAUUUAUAUGUGAUUUUAAAAUAAAAUUUGAACUCAAAUCUAUGUAUUUAAUUAAUCCAACAGGACAAAUUUAUAAUUUUCACCAACUAAAUAAAAUAUGUUAUCAGAAGCUUUUGGACCAAGUCGCGCACUUCGUGGGUCUGCUACUACUUAUAGUCCAUUCUCAUUCAACUUUCACAUCUUUUAUAUUAUGUACAAAUUGGAUAAUAUUCUAAAAAAGUGUUUCUAAUUGUUUAACGUUUUAUUUCUGGGUAUAUUUAGAGAUUAAAAAAUAUGGGAAACAUAAUUAAUUUUAUCAAAUAAAAAGGAGUAUUGUUCAUUUUUUCAUAAACAAUGUGUUAAAAUACUUUUGGUAUUUAAGAAGUAAAAAUUUUUAUUUUUGUUUCAUAAAAAGCAUUCAAAAUUAUAUUAAAUAAAAUUAAAGAUUAACAAAACUGACAUCUGAAUUUCGUGCAAAUUAUAAUAAGUUUAUCUCCAGCGUGAGUAACAUUAAAGCUUGGCUAGCAUCAUCAUAUUUUGUCUCCAGCAUCAAAAUUCUGAUAACAUCAACAUCAUAAUUCCAAGGUUGUCAAAACUAAUUAUCAAAUUAAAAUCCUUUGUGAUUUAAGCUCUCUUGGACUUUUAAAAAUGUUAUGCCACCCCUUCUUUAAUAAUAGUAGUAUAUGAUUAUGAUUUAAUUAUUUUAUUUUUUAAUUUAUCAAACACCAAUCACUUAAAUUAAACUCAAGAAAAAAAUUAGAACAUCAAAGAAUUUUAAUUGCUUCUUAUUAAGUACUAGAAUUAACUUCUCCCAAUGAUAAUUUAUUAAGCAAACCAUAAUGAUCAUCUUACACUAAAGAACCAACCCAUCUUCAAAACACAAGAAUUUAGUACAAAUAAUUAUCCCAAUAAAGUUUAACGAAAAAGAAAAGAGAUAUUUUUAUUAUUUCUUUUACUUUCUUAGUGGCUCUGCUACUACCUAUAGUCCAUUCUUAUUCAACAUACAGAUCUUUUAUAUUAUAUGCAAAUUAAAAUAUAUUCUAAAAAGUGUAUCCAACUGGUUAACAUAUUAUUUCUAGAUAAUAAUCAAUUUUAUCAAAUAAAAAGGAGUUUUGGUCAUUCAUUUGGCUCCGUUGCCACUGUUGUACGCUACAAGAGCUUUUGUCUUUGCUGACUCAGUUACUGUAAAAUGUCGUUCAGCCCCUUAUACUCUAUUUUAUUUAUAAGAAUUAUAAAAAUUUCUAAUUACCUACACUUUCAAAAUUCAAUUUAUCUCCUUACAAUCUUUUUCAUUUACUUUUUUUUGUAAGUAUUAAAAAGUUUCUAUUUACAACCACGACAUAGUAAUCAUCAUAACACACGAAUAUUUAUAAAAAUAUAAAAAUAUCAUUAAAUUAAUACUAAAAAAUGUUUUCCUCUCUUGAGGAAUUAUGGUAUCUCAUUUUCGAUCACUCAUUAUCAACAAAAUUUUCAAAGAUAUGACCAUUCGUCUUCUUUAUAAUAUCAUCUUAUAAUAAUUAAUACUUUCAUGAUUAAAAAAAUUAACAAAAUAAAGAUAAAUUCCCUUUGAAUCCAUCCCUCUCUACUAUCAUUUUCUCUUCAUUAGCAACAUUUAUCAAUAAUUGAAGCCACCAUCAGACUCAUCACACAGAGAGAGUGAGAAAGGGGAAGAAGAAACGGGAAAAAAAAAUAUAUGAGACAUUUACAAUUUUAUAGUAUGUUUAUUCAACGAGAUUCAUAUAUAGUUGCUAAGGGGUUUCAUUAGACAUAGGGAGUUUAUUACACUGAAACUUUUAAUCCAGUAGUUAAGGCCUCAACAAUCAGAGUUAUUCUUAGCCUAGCAGUACUUAACAAGUGGAUAAUCAGACAAGUGGAUAUUAAUAAUGCCUUAAUGGCAUUCCAGUUGAAGAAGUUUACAUGGCACAACCUGAGGGAUUGGUGGAUCCUACUAAACCCCAACACAUCUGCAAAUUAAAAAGGACUAUAUAUGGCUUGAAGCAAGCUCUCGGGGCUUGGUUUGAUAGAUUCAAAGCUGCAAUGAUUACUCAAUGACAUUUUCAACACUCAAAAUCAGAUAAAAAAUAUCAAAAUAUUUAUAUCAUUAAACUUUUAGGCCUAAUUAACUAAUUAAAGUUCUAAAUUUUUAUUUAGGACAUUAAAAAGACCGGAUAGAUUCUAUUAGCCCAAAAAUUUUGUUUUAAUUUUAAUAUCUAUUAAAUAUUUUAAACUUAAAUCUAUUUUUUAUUUAUUUUUAGAUGUUAUAAUUGCCCACAGCGAAUCACAAUUUUAAUAUCUAAUCUAAUUUAAUCUAAUAUUUGCUCUUGAUUUGCUCUUACUUAACUAUUGUGCUGUAAAGGGAAUAGUCCACAUUUAUAAAGUGCCCACGCCACCAUUGAAAAAGUUAAUUUUGAAUCUAAAUUUGAUUUUAUUUGUAACAAUUUUGUAUUAGACUAUUAAUUUAUUUAUGAUAGUUUGUAAAAGAAGUUUGUAUCCCUUGCAUGCUGCAUUACUUACUAAUUUAAUGUAUGUGACUUUUGUAAUGGAUAUUAAUGCAAGAUAUUUUUCGAACUUUACUUUUAUUUUAAUAUGAUUAACUCAAAUCGAAAACAAAAAAAUGUAUUAAUUAUUCGGGAAUCGGGGACCCUCAAGGAUCCCCUAUUAUUAUUCGGGGAGGAGAUAGAGAUUCUCUUAAGUAAUUCUGACGGGGACGGGAAGGGGAUGAGGACAUACACAAAAUAUUGGGGAUGGUUACGGGGAGAUUGGUCCCCUCCCCUCCCCUCCCCAUUGCCAUCCCUAACUCCCUGACUAAAUAAUUUGGGAAUAUAAGGAUGCAAUAAGAAUUGAGUGGUCUUUAUUCCCAUAGCUUUAUUUUUUUCUCGCUUCAUCCGUGCUCUAUUCAAUCUUUAUGUGUCGCUUGUGUUAUGUUCCUGCGUAUCUAAUUACUUUUAGAUGCUAGUUGAUAUUUGACAAUUUUGCAGGUUAAGGAUAUUAGAUGGGACGCAGAACUUGGCAGUCAGAACAUGGAAUUACGGUUGGUUGAAUACUUUGCAGAAGAGUUUAAUAAACAAGUUGGUAAUUGGGUGAUGUGAGGAAAUCUCCCAAGGCCAUGGCUGAACUGAAGAAGCAAGUUAAUUAAACAAAAAUAAUUCUUUGUACGAACACAAUGGAACCAAUAUCAGUUAAAUCUCUCCAUGAUGAUAGGGGCUUCAGGUAGGUGGAGUUCAAGUUCAGAUUUUACUGUUUGAGGUGUGUUUAAUUUUAUUAUCAAAAUUAAUGUGUUCUUUAAAUGGGUGAGGAACUGCAGAACAUGACAAAUAGAGUUUGUUGUGUGAGGGUGAGGAACUGCAUAUUCUCUUACGAGUGCUUUGUUCUUUAAUAUAGCACUAUAAGACAUCUUCUGAUGAAAAAUAGAGUCAAUAAAAUGACUCCAGACUGACUGAGCUGAUACAUUUUUUAUUCCAAUUCUUACAAGAGAUUUUUUCUUUCUUUUUUUUUUUCAAGUUUACUAGUGGUACUUUCAUUUGGUAAAUUAUUCUAUAUAUAUAUAUAUACUCUAAUCAAUUAUAUUGGCUUAUUUUACUUUUAUUUUGAAUCACGCUGCUGGUAUAUAUAAAAUUUAUUUAUUAAUUUUGGUGAAAAUUUUGUUCUGUUGCACACAGAUAAUAAACCCAAAUACAUUCACAUGCAUAUAUGGGGUUUGUUUUGUCUCUUAGGAGCAGCAUUACCUGUCAAAAGCUCGAAGAGCUCUAUGAACUUAUGCAUUCAGGGUUGAAAAUGGACGAGAUAUAUGCAGUGGAGUUCAUUGGAGGAGCUACUGUAGUGCCAAAGUUGCAGGUUUGAACUAUCUGCUUUGUUUUGGUAGUUAACCCGAGUAUUAAAUUCUUGAGGCAUGUAAGGUAGUAGACUUUAGCCAAUUCAAGAGUAGAAUAUAAUAUGUUUACUUGUUUUGAUCUUAAUCUUUAAUCACUUAGCCUGAAUAAGAAAUAAUUUUUUUAUAUUUGCUCUGCAAUGAUGUUAUUCAGUGUUAAUAGCUUUGUUACUCUUUUCCGCACAGAUUCUUGAUCUCAAAAGAACUUUUAUUUUGAAUAUUCUGCAUAAGGACAAUCUCAUUUAAUACCAUCAGUGAUUUUUCAUUUUUUUCUCUUUAGUUUUAAUAUGUUUGAUAACUGUAUGGCUAAGCAAUCUAUGCAAUUUUAUCUUGUCGUAUGUUUGAGCUCAUUUUUUGUUGCAAUUCUGAAUAUUUGGUAUGAAUUAUGUGAUACCGGACAAUACUGUUAACUUGUUAAUUUCUUAAUUUUAAUAUCUUGUCAAAGUCACUAAUAGCAUUUCAUCAUGCUAUGAGUUAAACAUGGAACAAAUGACGACAUGCAGUUGUGGAAUGUGGUAGAUCUCUGGAAUUCUAUGUCCUUAUGCUUGCAGGGCAACACAAUACAUUAGUUAAAACAUUAAAGACUAUGAUGUCCGCAGAAAAUUAUAUGUCAACAUAUGCACCAGGCAUGAUGAAAUUAGCCAAAGACAGUGCUUGGAAGUGGCAAGCAAGUGACAAUUUGCUCUACCAAUGACUUCAGAUCUCAAACCUGUUUCAGGCAAGGCCAGCAAUGACAUCAUGUUCAAAACAGUUUAGCCAGACACACCUGUUCACACCCCUCUACUACAUAUAACCUAUAGGUACUUGUUUUCUUUACAUUCUUUCUAUACGAUUGGCAUUAGGCUUAUCAAGUUCAAUUCGGUAUUUCACAAAACUUAUACUAACUUAUUCCUGAUUAUAGUGGACACAAUUAACUAACUUUGGCAACUGUUCUGAAGAGGAUGACUUCUUCAGGAUGACAUCAACUACCAGCGAUGAUACUAUCUGUAAGCUGCUUCUGAUAUCUACUAAAUAUUACUGCUAAACUUAAUAUUGACAAUUCGUUUGUGUGCAAGCCUGUGAUAACCACUUGGAUCGGAUAAAGGACUGGGACAUCAACAAUUUUCCCCGAAACCAAUAAGAUAUCAUUGUAAUGUUUAAUUAUACAUGUAUUGGUUUCUCUUUGGAUGGUGCUCUAUUGUGAUUCUUUCCUCUAUGACUCUUAAAUAAGCAACGUAUUGCCCUUUUGUUAUGCAAAAGUAUGGCGACUAUGUAUCAACCAGUGUAUCCAUUAUAUACACUAACUAUGAAUUACUAGAAAUUUUAUUACAUUAAUCAUUUUUAGAUAGCUUCUCAUCUCAAACGAAAUAAACUGUUUAGGGACACUUGACCCAACAUGCUUGUGACCGACCUUAGAAUAAAUUUUUGUCACUCAAUAUAGACAACUUCUACGAGGUUAAUAUUUCUUCAAAUUUCAACAAAAUCAUUGGCCACAGGAAUACAUACACAUGUUUUCGUUGGCAUGUUAAGUAGACGGGAACAACAUGUGGGCUAUGUACGCCAUUACCUUAAACGAAGCAAAAUUAUCUUGUGUUUAUCAAAGUUUGAAACUAAUUAUGUGCUUACAAAGAAUGUAUGAAUAACGCAUUAUACUCAUACACCAAACUUUAAUCUGAUGGAAUCAAGUAAUUCUGUGUUAAUCAAAGUUUUUAGACUUACAAGAUGAGGGUGAAGUUUAUAUAAAAGCAAAUAACACUGAAAUCUAAUCAUCCUAUACAAACAAAUAUGAUUUAUUCAAUUAUAGCAAACAAUUGUUUUAUCGGAGUUAAUUACAUUAUUGCUAAACUUGUAUAAGCUUUCCUGUUUCAAACAUAUCUACUUAAUUACAUUAUUCAUCGACAAUGUUACUUUGCCUGUGGAAGUUUCAUUUUUUCAUACCUUAAUCACUAUUUAAUGCUUCGUUUUCCAAUAGUUCUAAUUCUUCAAAUUUCGGUUUUAUUCUUCCAUAAUUAUAAAUUGACAUUGAUUCGCACGACUCAAAUUAAAGUGGUUAAUUACUCUAAAAGUAUAAAUCUGGCAGUCAAUAAUUACAUAAAAAAAUUGCAAAAAAAAAAGUUGAUAAGGAAUAGUAUAAAUUUAAAAUCCGCUAAGAUUAUGAGAUCCAUGCUUGAUAUUUAAAUCAUGGCCAUAACAUUUAUAUAUAUACACUUGUUUUAAUAUUAUGUGACUUAGUUUUUAAUUAACCACUCAAUGAAUAAAAAUGAGAAUUAAGUAUAUAUUAUGCCACAACUUUAUUAGAGUGUUCCCACUAUUAUAUUAGUAGUCAACAUUAGGUCUAAAAAGGGCUAAACGAAUGUUAAAUUAUGUUGAAGAGAUCAAGGUAGGCUAGCAUUUCAAUGUUAGUUACACUUCAAUUAUUUUUUUGCUAAUAAUGGUUGGGUUUUAUGCUUUGGUUGAAUUAAAUAAUUAGCUCUUGAUUGCGGUCUAUACACGCAGGUCGACGAUGCUUCCUAGGCCAAGAAAUAAUUACGGCAACUGUUGACCGAAUUCAUUAAUUGAUUGGACUAUGAACUCAUAAUUCAAGAAACAUAUUAUAAAUCAGACGCUGAUUUCAGAGAUUCAUUGAUCUAAGAACAUACAUACAAAAUAUAGCCUGUGACAAAGAAACAAGUCCGUAAUGAAGCAUCAAGCUAAACAUAUUUUAUAUGAUUAUCGUUUUGGUGAUUUGACAAUUUGGUUAUUGAUUUUGUUUAGGCAUGACUGUAUGAGAAAAUCAACGCAACUGUUGAAUUGACGAUAUUCAAUUGUCUAUUUCCUAUAAUUCUUUUCGAGUGUACCGUAAAACUGUUUGAAAAGAAAUAGAGAUAAAUCUUCGGCAUUUAAUAGCGUGGGGGGGAAUUUUUUGGAAAUGAGCAUGGUUUUUACGCAGAAGAUGACACGAACAAGUCGUCGGCAUAGGCCCAUACUUUGUUGUCGUUUAAAAGUGAUGUAUGUGAUUUCAAAGAUCGACACGUCGUUUGCAAAAUUGCCAAAUGCCGCGUACGUGACUCGCUGUCUAUACAUCAAGUUCAAGACUGUGAAUUGUUUUCUUGUUGAUAAUGAGAAAUAAUCCAAAUGGGUAGAUAAAAAAUUUCCAAUCAACGAGCAAUAUACGGCAAAGAGAACCAUUUAUAAAUAUAUGGAACUUAAUGAAAGAAAGGAAUCCAAUCACUCCAAAAUCUUACAUCUCCUUCAACAGAUUGAAAAGCAAGUGUGAACGAACGAACCAAGCAAAAACAAAAUUAUUUCACUUUGGCACUCUAGCCAAGCUUGACCGAAAUAAAAAAGGCGAGCGUUUUAUUGCACAGAAUGGCUCAUUCCUCGUGUCAUGUGGGCCUGACGAGGCAGCUGCGUGCACCACGCAUCAUGUCUCUGCCUCUCCGCGGAUCAAAAGCAAACAGCAUCAAAAAGCACUUUCAAACAAAAACCAGAAUUGUCUAGUCUAAAAACUUUGCAGAGAUAAAAUUAUUGUAUAAUCAAAAUGGUAGUUGUAAGUAACGUACACUGAUCAAUCAUAUAAAAAGCUUUUGAAAUUAAGCCGUAAGAGUGUGUGAUGAGACUGAUUAUUAAUUAUUGGAGUGUUCCCACUACUCAUAUUAGUAAAUAAAACACUCAUUUUAUUUAAUAAAUUUUAGUAAACAAAACACUCAUUUUAUUUAAUAAAUUUGUAAAAGUAUAAUAUAAGAAAAUUUAAAAUAAAGAAGAGAAAAAAAAAAUCUCUUCUUAUUAACUACACUUCUUUAUAAAAUUCACUCUAAAUUUACACUAAAUUUCUCUAGGAAAUUCACCUCUAAAAUUCUACACACGGAAUUGUCAAAUCUCUUGCCUUUAUAUAGGCAAAUUCUAGGUUGAUCAAGUGUGGGCAUUUACAUGAUAUUUUUGGUGAACUUGCAACCACAACCUUUAAAUGACCUUUGAUAAUACAAAUACAAUUCAAGGGGUCCAAAAUUGCAAGUAUUGUCAUGCAUUAUAAAACGGUUGAUUCAACAUAAUCAAUGGCUAUAAUGAAAUCAAAUCGGGAUCCUCCAUUGGAAUUUUUUUUUUUUUUUAAUUCAAAGUGGUUGAACCACCAAAAUUGAUGAGUAUUAAAUCUAGUGUAAAGAGGUACAUGUAAGCUUAGACACAAGGCAUGAUACCCAGCCUCUUAAAAUUAAUAUUAAAUAAAACGGCUACCUAUUCUUCCAAAAGUUAAAAUCAUAAUUUUUACUUUUAUUUAAUUAAUGUAUACUUUCUAGUAUUAAUCAUUGAUGAACAAUUUUUUAUUUCAUCACCGUCAAGAUUGCUUUUAUCUUAUACAAAUUUGUUUUAAACCUUUAAAUAGUUUCUAACGACUGUAUAAUUUUAUCUGUCCUUAUUUUUACCUCUUCUUAACUGACUUCAACUGUUGAUGUGAGUAUGUGUAUGUUACACUCAACGUAACAUAGGGUUACCCGAUUUUUAAAAGAAACGUGGCCAUCUGUUACUCCUUGGAUCACUUGCUUUUAAAUCAAAUAAUUACAUGAGAUAAAGACAAAACGCACACUAUAGUGUUACAGUUACCACAUAGACAUGGCUGUAGAGGCGCAAAAAAAAUCUAUUUGUUUAGUCACUGUACCCUUUUUCAUUCAUUUCGUCCGCUUCCAAAUCCUCGGGGAAAUUUACGAAAAAUAAAAAUGAUUUUAAGAAAUUUCGUCCACUUCCAACUUCAAAUAAAAUAAAUAAAUAAUAUCCGGUAAUGGUAUGACAAUUACUUCGGAGAAAACACUGCCCACCAAUUUUCUUCUCGGGCAGCGCCUUUGUCACAUUCGAGUCAAUUAAAAUCGUAUUGAAACUCUUUUUUUAAUUAUAUUUUUAUUUAAUAUUAAAAAUAUUAUUUUUUAAAUAAUAUUCUUUUUAUUUAUGAUUUUUUUUAAUUUCUAAUAGUUUUCUCACUCUUUUCGACUUAAUAUUUAUAUUCCUCUCUUAAAUUUUUUUUUACUAUUUAAUUUCUAAAGAAAAAAAUUUAAAAAAAAUCAAAAAAAAAACUUUAUACUUAAAAAAUAAUGAAUAUUUUAUGGGUUUAAUAUAAUUUUAUCCUCCCUAUAAAUUUUGGGUUUAUUGAGUUAGCAAUUAAUUUGAGAAUCCUUAAAAAAUUAGUUGUAAAGGGAUAAAAUUUUAUUUAGUUUAUUUUUUCCUACGUUGUAUCUUAAUUAAGUUGUUAUAUUUAUUAUAAGAAUUUUGUUUUGGCUUAGAGGAUUACUUCUUAAAUUUAAAUUAUUUUAGUGAUAACAAAAAAAUUUAUAUCGUGCAAAUAAAAUAAAAUUCAAAAGAGAAAGAAAAUGUAAAUAAUUUUAUUUUAUUUAAAUUUAUUCUUAAAUAUAAUUGUAAUAUAAUAAAAUUUUUAUGAAAUUAAUGAAGGAGUAUCAAUAGUCGAACUCAUUAUAUUUUUUGUAAUAAACUAUUUUUUUUUUAAAGAAGAAAUGCUUUCAUUAAAGCAAUUGGGUGAAUACAUUUAUGAUUUGUAGGGGAAAAGGUCCCCUCCAGACACAAUCAUCACUGCAUGCUAAUGCUGUAUUGGCUAUAGCAUGUGCCAUUGCAUUACGUUCCCUUGGAAUGUGCUGGAUUACAAUCAUACUCUCUCCCUCAAUUUUGCUUUGGAUAUCUUCAAUGCUCCAAAAAAAAUCUCUGUUCUACUGCUCCUCUUACGCAGCACCAAAUCAACCACCACUUUUGAAUCCGAUUCGACAGUCAAAGGGGUCCAUCCUGCAUCUUUGGCCACCUCGAUUCCCAGGUUAAUAGUGAAACAAACAAUUUGUAAAAGUAUAAUACAAGAAAAUUAGCCACUAUGCCUUUACUCAUCACAUUCGCUUAAAAAAUUAACCACUCAUAUUAGUAAAUAAAAUAUUUAUUUUAUUUAAUAAAUUUAUAAAAAUAUAAUAUAAGAAAAUUUAAAAUAAAGAAGAAGAGAAAAAAAAGAAAUCUCUUCUUAUUAACUACACUUCUCCAUAAAAUUCACUCUAGAUUUACUCUAAAAUUCUCUAGGAAACUCACCUCUAAAAUUCUACACAUCGAAUCAUCAAAUCUCUUGCCUCUAUAUAGGUAAAUUCUAGGUUGAUCAAAUGUGGGCAUUUACAUUAUAUUUUUGGUGAACUUGCAACCACAACCUUUAAAUGGCCUUUGAUAAUACAAAUACAAUCCAAGGGUCUAAAAUUACAAGUAUUGUCAUGCAUUAUAAAAUAGUUGAUUCAACAUAAUGAAUGACUACAAUGAAGUCAAAUCGGGAUCCUUCAUUGAAUUUUUUUUUUUAAUUCAAGGUGAUUAAACCACUAAAUUGCUAAGUAUUAAAUUUAGUGUAAAGAGGUGCAUGUGAGCUUAGACUCACGGCACGAUGAAACAGUUAUCAAUUCUUCCAAACGUUAAAAUUAUAAUUUUUACACUAAUGGUAAUCAUUGAUGAAUAAUUUUGUAUUUCAUCACCGUCUAAAUUGCAUUUAUCUUACACAAAUAUGUCUCAAACCUUUAAAUAGAUUCUAACCACUAUAUAAUUUUUUCUGUCCUUUAUUUUAACAGAAACGUGGCCAUCUAUUGCUCGUUGGAUCAUUUACUUUUAAAUCCAAUAAUAACCUGAGAUAAAAGACAAAACGCGUACUAUAGUGUCACAGAUGCAACACAUACGUGGCCGUAGGAGGCACAGAAAAAUCGAUUUGCUUUGUCACUGUACGCUUUUUCAUUUGUUUUGUCCACUUUCACAUCCUCGAGAGAAACAACACAAAUAAAAAAGAUUUUAAGAAAAUUUGAUGCUUUGUUCGCCGAAUCUCUCCACUUUUAAAUAAAGUGAUUGUCGUGAUCCUGAAUUGAUCAUGUGAUGCCGAGCGCAUCUCAUAAAGAAUGUNNNNNNNNNNNNNNNNNNNNNNNNNNNNNNNNNNNNNNNNNNNNNNNNNNNNNNNNNNNNNNNNNNNNNNNNNNNNNNNNNNNNNNNNNNNNNNNNNNNNNNNNNNNNNNNNNNNNNNNNNNNNNNNNNNNNNNNNNNNNNNNNNNNNNNNNNNNNNNNNNNNNNNNNNNNNNNNNNNNNNNNNNNNNNNNNNNNNNNNNNNNNNNNNNNNNNNNNNNNNNNNNNNNNNNNNNNNNNNNNNNNNNNNNNNNNNNNNNNNNNNNNNNNNNNNNNNNNNNNNNNNNNNNNNNNNNNNNNNNNNNNNNNNNNNNNNNNNNNNNNNNNNNNNNNNNNNNNNNNNNNNNNNNNNNNNNNNNNNNNNNNNNNNNNNNNNNNNNNNNNNNNNNNNNNNNNNNNNNNNNNNNNNNNNNNNNNNNNNNNNNNNNNNNNNNNNNNNNNNNNNNNNNNNNNNNNNNNNNNNNNNNNNNNNNNNNNNNNNNNNNNNNNNNNNNNNNNNNNNNNNNNNNNNNNNNNNNNNNNNNNNNNNNNNNNNNNNNNNNNNNNNNNNNNNNNNNNNNNNNNNNNNNNNNNNNNNNNNNNNNNNNNNNNNNNNNNNNNNNNNNNNNNNNNNNNNNNNNNNNNNNNNNNNNNNNNNNNNNNNNNNNNNNNNNNNNNNNNNNNNNNNNNNNNNNNNNNNNNNNNNNNNNNNNNNNNNNNNNNNNNNNNNNNNNNNNNNNNNNNNNNNNNNNNNNNNNNNNNNNNNNNNNNNNNNNNNNNNNNNNNNNNNNNNNNNNNNNNNNNNNNNNNNNNNNNNNNNNNNNNNNNNNNNNNNNNNNNNNNNNNNNNNNNNNNNNNNNNNNNNNNNNNNNNNNNNNNNNNNNNNNNNNNNNNNNNNNNNNNNNNNNNNNNNNNNNNNNNNNNNNNNNNNNNNNNNNNNNNNNNNNNNNNNNNNNNNNNNNNNNNNNNNNNNNNNNNNNNNNNNNNNNNNNNNNNNNNNNNNNNNNNNNNNNNNNNNNNNNNNNNNNNNNNNNNNNNNNNNNNNNNNNNNNNNNNNNNNNNNNNNNNNNNNNNNNNNNNNNNNNNNNNNNNNNNNNNNNNNNNNNNNNNNNNNNNNNNNNNNNNNNNNNNNNNNNNNNNNNNNNNNNNNNNNNNNNNNNNNNNNNNNNNNNNNNNNNNNNNNNNNNNNNNNNNNNNNNNNNNNNNNNNNNNNNNNNNNNNNNNNNNNNNNNNNNNNNNNNNNNNNNNNNNNNNNNNNNNNNNNNNNNNNNNNNNNNNNNNNNNNNNNNNNNNNNNNNNNNNNNNNNNNNNNNNNNNNNNNNNNNNNNNNNNNNNNNNNNNNNNNNNNNNNNNNNNNNNNNNNNNNNNNNNNNNNNNNNNNNNNNNNNNNNNNNNNNNNNNNNNNNNNNNNNNNNNNNNNNNNNNNNNNNNNNNNNNNNNNNNNNNNNNNNNNNNNNNNNNNNNNNNNNNNNNNNNNNNNNNNNNNNNNNNNNNNNNNNNNNNNNNNNNNNNNNNNNNNNNNNNNNNNNNNNNNNNNNNNNNNNNNNNNNNNNNNNNNNNNNNNNNNNNNNNNNNNNNNNNNNNNNNNNNNNNNNNNNNNNNNNNNNNNNNNNNNNNNNNNNNNNNNNNNNNNNNNNNNNNNNNNNNNNNNNNNNNNNNNNNNNNNNNNNNNNNNNNNNNNNNNNNNNNNNNNNNNNNNNNNNNNNNNNNNNNNNNNNNNNNNNNNNNNNNNNNNNNNNNNNNNNNNNNNNNNNNNNNNNNNNNNNNNNNNNNNNNNNNNNNNNNNNNNNNNNNNNNNNNNNNNNNNNNNNNNNNNNNNNNNNNNNNNNNNNNNNNNNNNNNNNNNNNNNNNNNNNNNNNNNNNNNNNNNNNNNNNNNNNNNNNNNNNNNNNNNNNNNNNNNNNNNNNNNNNNNNNNNNNNNNNNNNNNNNNNNNNNNNNNNNNNNNNNNNNNNNNNNNNNNNNNNNNNNNNNNNNNNNNNNNNNNNNNNNNNNNNNNNNNNNNNNNNNNNNNNNNNNNNNNNNNNNNNNNNNNNNNNNNNNNNNNNNNNNNNNNNNNNNNNNNNNNNNNNNNNNNNNNNNNNNNNNNNNNNNNNNNNNNNNNNNNNNNNNNNNNNNNNNNNNNNNNNNNNNNNNNNNNNNNNNNNNNNNNNNNNNNNNNNNNNNNNNNNNNNNNNNNNNNNNUCAUAAAGAAUUUAUGAACCUCAAAUAAAUAAAUAAAUAAUAUCUGACAAUGGCAUGACACUUACUCUGGAGUGAACACCGGCCCACUAUAUUACAUUUUCUGUAACAAACAAUUGAAGAAUAUGUUUCGGCCGACAUUCAUAAUUUUCUCCAUAUGUUUUAAAGCCAACCCCCUCCUUUAUGGACUCCACUUUUAAGGGGAAAUUUAUAAAAAUAACCAUUAAUAUUUUAUUAUUUUCGUAAUUAAUCCUCUUAAUUUUUUUCUAUCAACAUUAGCUAAACACAAGCCUUUCUUCCCAAAUUACCCUUCUUUACAGAACAAAACCAACAUUGUUUCUCCCAUCUCGCCAAACCAAAAGCAGAUUUUCAUUCUUGAAUCAUCAGCCAACGGCGACCGCAAAAGACAACUGUGAAAGUGAUAUCCGAUCAUAAUCUAUCCAGAUUCAACACAAAUCGACAUCACUUACUGGUAUGAAUUAUUUUUUGAACUUACUGAACUCAGUCGGGUGAAUCUGAAUCUGGCGACAGGCUGCCUGUCGCAGCAAAACUUGGUGCGACAGGCACCUGUCCCACCAAACCUUGGUGCGACAGGCAGCCUGUCGCACCCACUCUUGGAGAUUUAUUAAAAUUGUAUUAUUUUAAUUAGGACUGAAAUAAAUUUUUUUUUUUAAUUUCAGGCUUAAUGGAUUCAGUUGUACUUGAAUUGUGUUACGAUGGUUGGUGGGAGACAUUAGAGAAUGACUGUAUGGAGUACGUGAAUGGUAAAAAUCGAGCUUUUUUGGUUGGAAAAAAUUACCUGUUUGAUCAGUUAUUGGCAAGAGUAUACGAGGUGUUAAAAAUAAAUCCUAAUGACUAUAGUAUCACAAUGAAGACAACUUUGAGGUCUAGUAACACAUUAUAUCGUAUAUGUGCAAUGCCCAUGGAUAUAUGUGAUGAUGAAAUGGUGAGGGUUGUGUUGCAUAUGGCAUCUGACGUAGCUAAUUUUGGAUGCAUUCCUAUAUUCGUGACCACAUCACCUCGAGUUCCGAGCGAAGGUAUUGAGCCACAUGUCGAUACAGAAACUUCGUUUAGAGCAAAUAUGUCUGGCCCCGAUAAUGAUGAAGAGGUGUUGCCAAGGACAAUAUCGCUGCAGCAAUAUUACUCUCCAAUCCACGACAAUUAUGACAACAUUGAUGAUAAUGGCGUUACGUUACAGGAUGUUGGAGCAACGGUAUUUCCAAUAACAACGUCGUUGGAGCAACAAUAUUUUCCGUAUCACAACAAUGAUUUUCGGGACAAUGAUGAUUUUCAUAAUGAGACAGAGGGGGAUAAUGUUUGUGCAGAACCUUCUAAUAAUACAAGGCGGGGCACUCGUUUCAAUAAUGAUGGUGAUGAUGGAGGAGCCGGUCCUUCGAAUGUUCCGUCGUUUCAGGAUGAGGAUGAGUGUGAAGACAAUACUCCUGUGAAUAACAGAGGCAAUAGACCUAUUCCUUCUAUGGUUCGAUCGAGAAGGAGAAUUGACCCCCUUACAAGUCUUGCUCCAACUUUACCUUCGAACAUGGUUGCUCCAAGCUUUGUUAGCAGUUGUGACUCAGAUGAUAUCAGCGUGGGUAAGCUAUUUGCUGAGAAGAAUGAGCUUAUAUUACAACUACGCAAGGUGGCCUUUAGAGAUAAGUUUGAUUUCAAGAUUGCACGGUCUACUACGACACGUUUCGAGGCUCACUGUUGUUCAGAAUCAUGUAAAUGGCGUAUUCGAGCAACUAGAAGUUCGAACGAGCAACAUGUUCCUUGGGUGGUGAAGAGAAUUGAUAAUGUACACACUUGUCAUAAUGAGGUAUUGGUUGAUGGACGUCAUCAAGUAAGGAGCCGGGUUGUCGGUCAUAUUAUCGCAGAAAAAUAUAUUCAAGAUAAGAGGAUUUAUACUCCCAAUGACAUAAGAGCAGAUAUGCAACAGGAAUACGGUGUUCAGUUAACAUACCAGCAGGCAUAUAGGGCGAGAGAAGUUGGUCUUGAAAUAGUACGCGGCAACCCUGCAGAGUCAUACAAUUUGCUCCCUAAAUACUCUCACGUACUAACUACAGCGAAUGAGGGUACAGUCACUCACCUCGAGCAUGAUGGAGAUGGUAAUUUCUUAUACUAUUUUGUAGUACUCGGAUCUUCCAUCAAGGGGUUUAUGCAGUACAUUCGGCCUGUCAUUGCUGUAGAUGGUACUCAUCUGAAGGGAUUAUAUCGUGGAAGCAUGUUCGUGGCAACAUGUCUUGAUGGUAACAAUCAAUUGUAUCCGUUAGCCAUUGGGAUCAUGGAUUCAGAAAAUAAUGAUGCUUGGGAAUGGUUUAUGAUGAAGUUACAUGGAGUGAUUGGUGAUAGACCUGAGUUGGUAAUUAUCUCUGAUCGAUGCACUGCCAUAAGGAGAGCCGUUCUUAAAGUAUUUCACAAUGCAACUCAUGGCGUUUGUUUUUACCACGUCAAAGGUAACAUUAAGUCACAAUUUAGAAUGUCCAAAGCUCUUUGGGAUGAAUUUGAACCUGCCUUUAUUAAUGCAGCAAAAGCAUAUGGCCACGAGGAAUUUAAGAGACAACUUGAAGGGUUGUGGAUGAUCCACUCGGGUGCGGCUGAUUACCUAGAAAAUAAUGUCGGUACGUGUAAUUGGGCAAGGUCUCAGUUUCAAGGUAGGAGGUACAACAUUCUUACCACCAACAUCGCGGAGAGUGUUAAUGCUUUCAUGAGGGAACCUCGAAAAUUUCCUGUUACUCAUCUUGUUGAUCACUUCAGGAAAACAUUGCAGCAAUGGUUUUAUGAUAGAAAAAUUAUGGCUGAAUCAAUGACUACUCGGCUAACAACAUGGGCGGAUGAAAUAGUCACUGAGAGGAGAACUAUAGCUGAAAGAAUGAUAGUUCGGCCGGUGUCUCCGCAUCGCUUUCAAGUUAUAGGCGGUGGGCUUAAAGAAGGGUUGGUUGACUUGCAAAAGAGAACUUGCUCCUGCAGAGUGUUUCAGCUUGAUCAGCUUGUGUGUGCUCAUGCAAUUGCGGCGUGUCUAACACACCGGGUGGAUUUUAUUAACCUUUGCUCGGACUUUUACACUACAGAAUCGUUGGCGAUGGCUUAUGCACAACCAGUGGAGCCAGUUGGUGAUGUGGCUGAUUGGGAAGUUCCAGAUGAAAUUCAGGAGCUGCAGGUAUACCCACCAGUUGAGGCACCGCCACCUGGACGUCGUAAAGAGCGCAGAAUACCCUCGGCUGGCGAGGACAUUGACCGGCGGACUGUAAGAUGCGGCCGGUGUCAUGAACUUGGCCAUAAUCGUAAGCGAUGUAAGAAUCCUAUUGCGUGGACUCGAAGUUAGUUGUAUUUUGUGUGUUAUUCGUUGGUUAAAACUAUUAUUGUUUUUGUGUUACGUUGGUUAAAACUGUUAUUGUUUUUUGUAUUUCGUUGGUUAAAUUUUUUAUUAUUCAUAAAACUUUAUUUUAUUUUAAAGUUCAAAAUGUGAGGCAUUAAAAUUAUAUAAAAUUAAGUGUGGAAAUAAAAAAAAAUGUAAAUUUCAACAUUGAAAUUACUACAUAGGUCUACAAUAUAAUAUCGUCAUUAAAUAUAUCAACCGCAAUCUUCUUUCUAAAGUACUCGACAUGACUAGCGUUAAACUCCAACCUAAGCCCGAACAUUAAAUACAUCGUAACCAUCAAUACAAAAACACCGCAAUCGCCAGUGCCUCUUUCUUGUUGCGGCGCGCUCUUAACUGCGAUAACUUUCCACGGGUCUUCACUCCGCAACUCAGGUCGUAUAUUGUAGAAGCCAACAUAUUCCAACCAUCGAGGGAAUAUAACUUCAAGUGGCUUGAAUUUCAACUUGUACCUUUUGUCGUCGCGAAAUGUGAGUAAUGAGUCAUAAAUCCAGACUUUAUUUUUCCGAAAGUCAACUCGUGCUAGUACCCAAUGCGCGCCGUCCAAGUUAACAGGGAUGAGUAACUGCAUAUACAAAUUAAAAAACAUGUUCGUUAUAUAUGAAAUUGAAAUACAACAAAGAAAAAACAACUCCUCGAAUAUUUUCAGUAUAGAACAUGUGAAAUGUAAUAAAAUACAUACCAUAUCGACAUCCGUCAUUGAUUUUGACAUUGUGUUCUGUCGCCCACAAAGAUAACUAUUCAAGCGGUCGUCGAAUACCAUUGAAUCGACUGCACAAUUCCCGUUAUUCCAUAACUGAUUCAAGAACACCUAGUACAUAGAUAACCAAGAAAUGCAUAAAUUAAUAAAACUUAAAGGCAAUAAUUAAAGAAAUUAAAUAGUAUUUAUAAGUUUUGUCGGCACGUUACCCAAAAAAAUGUGUCCGUAUGUGUGACACGUUGGAGUAAGGCAUUUGGAUACUGCCGUUGUUUCUCGCUAAUCAAGCGGAGAUACUCGUGAAUAUGCUGUAGAGAAACAUAAAUAUUACGAUUUUAAAAAAAAAUUAUACACAAAUCCACAACAGUAUACACCACGAGGAAAAUAUAAAUACCUCAUCGCCUAGCCAUCCCAUCGAAGCUGUCCCCAAAAUUAUUUGAAAGAAUGACCGCGGGUGCUGGACGUUCCGGCGGACUCUGAUAUCACCAGUGAACCAUCGAUCAAACUCAGCAAACAAACUAGAGUCCUCCAAUCCUCUCAGUGGAUUUACAUCCACACUCGUACUCAUGUCAAUCGCAUGCUCCAUGAUUUGGGGUCGAGGUAACCUCCGGACGUUCUGUCCUCGCCUGACCGGAGGAAUCAUGUAAGGACUGUUAUAAACAUACGACGGUAUGUACGCGCGGCCGAACUUACUAACGCCCGGAGGCACCUCUGUGAACACCUGCACAGACUCCCCACUAACAUCCCCGUAGAAACUAACCAAUGACGUGGGCGUAGACAAAUUUUCAUUGCCCACGUCAGUAUACACUCCAUAGUCAUCCGGGGCCUGUACAAUCGCCAAAAAGAACAUAUUAAAUAAUCAUCAAAUUAAAAGUUAAACGAACAUAAUUAUUUAAUUUAAAUUAGCUUACUGCAUACGAGCGUGCAGUGGGAGAAUCCUUAUUUGGACGUUUAGAAAAUGUGUCGAUGAAGCCAACAACGGUUUCUUUAAAAUCUUUUAAUUCUGACUUUAUUUCAUACACGUUACGAUCAAUCUUAUCCAGCCGUCGUCGUACGUAAUCAUUAAACUGCUUUGUCCUCGACUAAUACAAAAGAAAAAAAUAAAACUUUAGAAUAACAAUAAAAAAAUAAUAACAACCAAAGUGAAAAAUAUCGUAUAUUAUUUAUAACCUCAGAAUCCCGUGCGUCAUCAGAGUUGUCUGUUUGCUGCGGGUGGUCAUCAACAGCCACCUCAUCCUCAAAAGUGUCAUGACGCUGCUCAAAAGUGUCAUGACGCUGCUCUGGUAUUGGGUUUGGUAUGUCGUCAUGAUCGUCAUGCUCGUCCGAUUGUCUUGUAACCGACGGCGCGUUGAUUGAGGGUUGGUGCUGUAUAAAGUAUCAUUUAAAAUUACUAAAUGAAAAGUCAAAAAUUUCGAUAAAAAAAAAUUUUGUACUUACAGUAUACCGACCUUAUGAACCCAGUCUGGAAUGCUUGGCAAGUAAUCCUUCACAGAGAGCCAAUAUUUUCUGCUACUCUCCUUUGAAUUUGGCUCAAGAGUUUGUAAAACGUCCGUCUGCCAUAAAUUUAAUUGAAAAAUUUAAGUAAGUAUACCCAACUUAAAUUUAGUAAAGUUAAAAAAAUAAGUAAUACAUAUUACUUACAAGACGAGAUUCGUCGUUGAAAAACGAAUAAACCUCCGCAAAGUUGAUUCUCGAAGACGCCAUAGGCUUCCAUUGCAGAAUGCGGGGAAUCUUACUCUUCGUUUUGACGACCCAUGUUGAUGGUAACCCUCCGAUUGCUUCAUAAAUCCAAGCCUACAACAACCAAAGUGAAAAAUUAAAUAAAACAACUAUCAAAUAUUUAAUACUAUAAAACUUAUUAAUAAACAAAAAAAGCACCUGCACCCCAGACAUAAAUCCGUAAAGAUUGUAUUUUUCAAUAUUAUGAUCUGGAUUUUUCAACCGAGUCUUCUUAAAUUUCUCGUCUUUUUCGAACAGUGCAUUGUCAAGACUCUCGUAAAUCAUUUCCCACGACAAUAGACCUCAUGGACGCUUUCGGAAGUACUGAAUAUCAUCAACUUGGUCAAGCCAAUCGAAAUUAAUUUGACAGUGAUUUUUUCUUGCAUUUAGUACUCUGUCCGCAAAAUAAAACAGCGCAAUCUUUAAUGCGUCCAUAUCGUCUAUUUCCUCGAAAUUCAACUCCUUAAAUACGGCAUCAAAUUGCUUCACAUUAAUCUUACGAUGCACACCACCAAAAUACGUAUUCCGUAGCCUCUGCUCCAUUUCAUCAUUUUUUUCAUUGGUAUCAACACCAAAUGAAAGUCCAGUAACCAAGCACCAUUCGACAAUUGACAGGCGAAUCAAAUGCUUACCAAUUUGAAACCAUAACUGAUCCUCACGGCUAUCUUCUUCAUGGGCCACUUGAUGCAGUAAAAGAUUAUGCAAAAUUACCCCACUAAAUGGAAAACUUCGACACUCCAAGAAAUGCCCAAAUAUAUCCUUUUUGAACAUACUCUACUGCCGCUUUGUUAAUUUUUCCUCGAUAGCUUUUACGACCGAAGAUAACAUACACAUGCUCGAAAUUCGACCAGGAAAGUGAUCAGCAUAACGAAAAUACAUCUUGCCUACUUCAAUAUCCGGUGAUUCUGAUUUCGCCAUGUAUCUGUAAUAUUUAUAAAAUUAUUACAUUAUAUUUACAGAAAUAAAAAAUUUACUCGUAAAAAAAAAAACUCUAAUUUUCUGGUGCGACAGGCGCCUGUCGCUCCAAAAAACUGGUGCGACAGGCCCUCUCGCACAAACGCUGAUGCGACAGGCGAGCGCCUGUCGCACCACAGCUGGUGCAACAGCAGGCGCUGUCGCACCAAAUCUGGUGCGUGAGGCUUGCUGUCGCACCAGAUUUGGUGCGACCGCAGGCCGCGCAUGGGCGCGCGCUGCUGCCUAGCGAUGGGCGCCGGCGCGCGCCCUGCCCCCCUCCCUUCCCACCCCCAAAAUUAAGCGCAAUCACUCCAAAAUCAAAAACAGUACUCCCAAACACCACCAACCACCACAAACAUCAUCACCACCAUUAUCAAUCUCAAGCUAUAACUAUUAUUAUUCUAAAAUCUCAUUUUAAAUUAAUGAAAAUAAGAAAAAUGACUAACCUAGGUUUUGUUGAAGGUUGUGGAUCGUAGAUCGGAUGCCGGUGAGAGAUGGAGCUGCCGCCGACGAGGGUUGAUGUCGCCGCCGAUGAUGGGAGUUGGAUCGGUUUGGGAGAGAUGAGAGAAAGGGAGUGUUGGGGAAGAGAUGAGGGAGGGGUAUUUUGGACUCAAAUGUUGUUUAAUGGCUAAUGUUGAUAGAAAUAUUUUUGGGGGGUUAAGAUGAAAAAAAGCAAAAUUUUUUUGAUUAUUAGUGUAAAUUUCCCACUUUUAAGAAGGAUGUUACCCACCAACACCAAGUAAACCAAAAAAAAAAAAAAAAAAAAACUCUUUUCCGCCUCUGCUUUCAUUCUCAAUCUCUUUGUCACUUCGUUUUUCCUUUUCUCCAUAUAUGAUAUUUAAUAACUAUUAAAUGCUUGUUUCGAAGGGUUUGCCUACGUUACAACGGUGAUACCGGAACAUUUCUUUUAUCUAUUGUGGCAGCUCUACUGUAAAUUUUAAUAAAGACCUUUCCACUCUUUUUUAUUUAAACUUUGUUUCAUUAGUAUUAACCCAGUUUUCACCUACAUCCAUAGACACAUUUCAAUCAGCACCUUACAUAUUUAAUAUUAUUUUUAUUCUAUUUUGCACCUGUAUCAUAAUACCCCUCUUUAUUAUUCUGAAAUUGAAUAAUAGUCAUGUUUAAUUUAGAACCUUACACUCUUUUUUUUAAAAAAAAUUAUUAGGAUAUUUUUUUAAAUAUACUAUCAAAUUUCAUGCAACACUUUACACUCUUUUUAUUAUAAAUUUUUUAAUAAAUAUUAUCUAAUAGUACUUUUUACUUACAUGUAUAAUGAAUUAUGUAAUCCCAAUAGUUCAAAAAGUAUUAUAAUUUUUAUUACUCUUAUUUUUAUCAUGUUAUUUAUUUCAAGUAUUCUUAUUUUAUGGGUGCAUUCGGUGCGUCAUUAUUUAUUGUAUUAAGUUGUAUUGCAUUAUUUUCUAUUACAUUAGGCUGUUUUAAACUAUAAUUUAGUAAAAAAAAAUUAUCUUUCAUGUAUAGGAAUAAAUUUUUUUAAUAAUAUAAUGUCAGUCCAUGCUACAUAAAAUUAAUUCAAUACCUAUUUGGAGACGAUGAAUUAUUAUUUACAACAGCAAAUCAAAUGGUUAAAUAACAAUGAUAAAAAUAAAAGUAUGAAAAAUUAUAAUAUUUUUAUAAUGGAACUAUUUGAAUUACAUAAUUUAUUGUGAAUCUCAGAAAACAGUACCGUAAUAUUUAUAAAAAAAACUUAAAAUAAAAAGAGUGUCAAGUGUUAAAUGAAAUUUGAGAGUGAAUGUAAAAAAAACUAAUAUUUUUAAAAAAUAUAAUUAAAAAGGAGUGUAAGUUUUUAAAUUAAACAUGCUAAUUAUUCAAUUUCAAAAUAGUAAAGAGGUCCAUAAAAAAAAAAAAGUUAAAGACAGGCAUUGUGAUAUAAGUGAAUAUUAGAUAAAAAAUUUAUAAAUAUGAUAUAAUAUAAGGUGUUAACAAAAAUGUACCUAUAGAUGUAGGUGGAAAUUAGUUUAAUACUUAUGAAAAAAAUGUUAAAUAAAAAUAAAUAGAGGGUUUGUAUAGAAAUUUCUCAAAAAGACAAAAGAAGUGGUAUGACACCGCUAGCGCAACGUAGCUGGACUCCAUUUAGAAUAGUUUAUUUGAUGAUUAUAAAUAUUUCUUUGAUUUUAUAAAUUGUUUUUAAAAUUUUUAUUUAUUUAGUUAUUUUUAAUAAAAUUUUUAAAAAUUAAAUAAAUUAUUUUACCUCUAUUAAUAAAAAUUUAAAUUUUAAAUCUUUUAAGAUAUUAAAAUAUUUAAAAUAUAUUUUAGAUACUUAACAAUCUUAUUUUAUUUUUAUUAAAUAAUUUUAAAAAUUUUAUUUAUUAAAAUAAUUUUAUAAUUUUUAAUAAAAGUCUCAUUAAAAAUUAAAAAAUUUAUUUUUUUAAUAAAAACUCAAUUUAUAAAAAUUUUAGGGUCUGCCUAAGUUACGUUUAAUGUAACUUACGGCUUAGCCCUAAAAUUUUAUUCAGCCCCCUAUGCUGAAUGUUAUUUAUAAUGUAUUUGUGAAUAUUAUAAAAUAUUUUAGAUUAUAAAAUUUCGUCUAAUCCCUUACACUCAAUUUUAUUUUAUUGAAAUCUUAGAAUAUGAAUUUGUCCCCUAUAAUUUUAAAUUUAUAAAAUAACCUCUAUUUAAUUAAAAAAUAUAAUAAUUAUUAAAUAAAUUAUAAUAAUUAUUAUUAUUUUAUUAUAAUCAUAAAUAUAAUUAUAUUUUUUAACAAUAUAAAGAGAAAAUUGAUGGAGAACUUUAAACAAUUUGACGUAUUCACAUUAUUUAUAUGUAUAUGCGAGUUAGAUAUUUAUUUAUUUAUUACAUUCUUUUUGUGAAUUAUAAAUCAUAAGGAAAUGAUUUUGAGGGAGUAAUUAGAGUCAUAAGUCCCUACUAUUUCUUUUAUGUAAUAGAAUUUAUGGAGCCAAUUAACGGUUGCAAAAAAAACCCUAUGAUGCUAAGAGUUUCAGUGAGUGUAUUUAUAGUAACUCCUCCAAUGACUUACUUUUUAAUUGAUAUGCAACAAUACCAAUAUUUUUGUGAAUGAAACUCGCACCAAUUUUCAUUGCCACUUUUGGUGUUGUCUAAACAUUUUGGCAUGGCACCAUUAAUAGAACAUCCAAGCAAAAAAAGUAAGAAAAGUUUUGUGAUUAAGAGAAAAUUAAUUGCAAUUAAUGGAAGUCAUUGGAGAAAGUGGUGCACUAUUGGAGAACUUUAAACAAAUUAAUCGCAUAAUGUGAAUAUGUUAAAUCAUCAAUUUUUAAAUAGAUGAUUAUAUUUUUUUAAAUAUAAUGUUUUAUUUAAAAAAUAUAAUUAUAUUUAUGAUUAUAAUAAAAUAAUAAUAAUAAUUUAUUUAAUAAUUAUUAUAUUUUUAAUUAAAUAAAGGUUAUUUUAAAAAUUUAAAAUUAUAGGAGGUGAAUUUAUAUUCUAAAAUUUUAAUAAAAUAAAAUUGAAUAUAAGAAAUUAAAUAAAAUUUUAUAAUUCAAAAAUUUUAUAAUAUUUAUGAAUAAAUUAUAAAUAAUAUAGAAUAUAGGGGCUGAACAAAAUUUUAGAACCUAACGAAUAAGUUACGUUAAACAAAUCAAAAUUUUAUUAAUAAAAAACUUUUUUAAAUAAAUUUUAUUUUAAAAAUUAUACUAUAAGACAAAAACCCUGCACUUACCAACGCGUACUGAUUAAAACCAUUCACCGGCGCCUGUGCUCUCACCAUCAAUGCUGUUAGUGAGUAAGCACAUCACACCUUAAUAAUGACAACUGUGUGUUAUCAUUUCGGUCAAAAAGGUAGGCCCCCCAAAAACAAUGAUAAUAAUUAACAGUCAUAAAUAAAAAAUAAUAUUGGGUAUGUUACCAUUUUGGUAAAAAAAAAGAUAAUUUUGCCGCUAAUUAUUUGGGUAGUCAGAUAAGAAUAACAAAACAUGUUAUCUUUCGCCUAUAACUUGAGGAGGUAAUAAAAGUCUUUCGUUAUACUCUACUGUUAGUUUCGCUUCUUCUUUAAUUCCUCUGAAGUCUUUCAACAAAAAUGGGUGGCGUCAUCUCAACCUUCUUAUCAGCGGACACAAUUCGUCCAAUUUUAUCUUACGUUGGUGGAGAAGCUAAUUAUAUAUGGGGUCUAAAAGAUAAUCUUGAUGACUUGCAGACUCAGAAGGAGAAGUUGAUUGAGAAAAAAGAAGAUAUGCUGAAUGAGGUUGAGCUUGCUGAACAACGACCCCGAACCAGACGGACGAGAUCGGUGCAACGCUGGUUUGAAAGAGUGGAUCGAAGGGUAACUGAAGUUGAGAGGCUGCAACAAGAAAGAGAUCAAGAGAUUGACAGAUUGUGCCUUGGAGGCUUCUGUUCCAAGGACUUGAUCUCAAGCUACAGCUUCGGGAAAAGAGUGGAGAAGAUGAAGAACGAAGUGAUCGAAUUGAAGAAAGGAGGAGAAGCAAUCAAUCCACUUUAUGAGGAGGUACCAGAAGGUGCAGCGGUUGCAAUAGCUGUUGAGCGAACAAUUGUCGGUCAAGAAUCAAUACUGGACCGAGUUUGGAGAUGCAUCACCGACCAAGAACAGAAUAAGGGAAUUAUUGGCUUAUAUGGUAUGGGGGGCGUCGGCAAAACUACUCUGUUAAAGCAAGUCAAUAACAAAUUCUGCAGUGAUGAACAGCAUCAUUUUGGUGUCGUUAUCUGGUCGGUUGUGUCUAGACAGCCAAACUUGAUGCAGAUUCAAGAGGAUAUUGGGAAAAGGAUAGGCUUCUCAACAGAUUCAUGGCAGAGAAAAAGUUUUGAAGAAAGGGCUUCAGACAUCACCAACGCUUUAAAGCAUAAGAAGUUUGUAUUGUUAUUGGAUGAUAUAUGGGAGUCCAAAAUUGAUUUAACAAAUUUGGGCAUCCCUCUUCAUUCUGGGUCCAAAAUAGUCUUCACAACUCGUUUUCAGGGCACUUGUGGUAAAAUGAGAGCUGACAAGAAGUUUCAGGUGUCUUAUUUGGGAGAUGAGGAUGCUUGGGAUUUAUUUCAGGCGGCCGGAGGAUUCUGUUUUGACAGUCAUUCGGAAAUUCGUGAAUUAGCCAAAACCAUGGCAAGUCAGUGUCAUGGUUUGCCGCUAGCACUUGAAACAGUGGGUCAAGCCAUGGCAGGCAAAGAGUUCCCUGAAGAAUGGAGACGCGCGAUUGAGAUCAUAAGCACAUCAGCUUCUAAAUUCGAAGAUAUGGAGAAAAAGGUGCUUUCGCGUUUAAAGUUCAGCUACGAUAGUUUGCCCAAUGACGAGCUUCGGUCUUGUCUCUUGUACUGUUGUUUAUUUCCGGAAGACUCUGAAAUUCGAAAAACCGACUUGAUAGUGUAUUGGGAAAGUGAAGGCCUUUUGGAUUCUAUUGGUGGGUGGGAUGUUCUCGGUGCUCUUGUUCGUGCGUGCUUAUUGGAGGAAGGAGGUGAUCAUGUAAAAAUGCACGAUAUGAUCCGUGACAUGGCAUUAUGGAUAGCAAAUGAAAUAGAGGAGGAGGAGAAGUUUUUGGUUCGUGCAGGAGUUGGACUAACUGACGCCCCAAAGAUUGAAGAAUGGGAAGGGGUCAAAAGGAUAUCCUUGAUGGAGAACGAAAUUCAAAGUCUACCACAAAUUCCCACUUGUCCGCGUCUCCAGACUUUGCUUCUGGAAUAUAAUCAUAUUGAGGAGAUCACUGAGAGUUUCUUUCAAUCUUUGCCUUCGCUUAGAGUUUUGAAUCUAAGUGUAAAUCAUUACCUAACUGAACUACCUGUAGGGAUUUCAAGUUUGGUUUCAUUACACCAUCUUGAUCUGUCUUCUACUAAAGUACGUGGAUUGCCGCAAGAGCUCAAGGCAUUGGUGAAUCUGAGAUAUUUGAACUUGGACUAUACAAAUGAAAUGUGUAAAAUGUGUAAAAUUCCAGAGCAAUUAAUAUCAAGCUUUUCAAAGUUACAGGUACUCAGGAUGCUGCAUUGCGGUUCAAACCACUGGCCAAUAGCGGAAGAAGGCAACGUUCUAUCCGAUGAUGCGGAAUCAUUGAUGAAGGAAAUCCACUGUUUGGAACAAUUAAAUCUCAUCGCCUUGUCCUUACGUGGUUCGCGUGGUGUUGAAAACUUUCUGAAAUUCCCAAAGCUGCAGAAUAUCACUCAAGCUCUGCACAUCAAAGACUGCAACAGUCUACCGCUCAAUUUGUUGCAUCUAGCAAACAUGGAGCAUCUUCAGCUGUUCAGCAUUUGGGACAGUAAUUUGGAAGACUGGAAUGUCGACUGCGCGGGAGAGGUACAAAAAAUGCUUAAACUUCACUUUGUUAAUUGCUCAAAUGUGAAGGACUUGACGUGGCUUGUUUUUGUUCCAAAUCUCAAGUGGCUGCAAAUAUUUAAUUGUGAUGACAUGGAAGAAAUAAUCAGUGUUGAAAAAUUUGAAAAAUUGGGUGAAGUUUCAGAGAUGAUGGGAGAGCCUAUCUUGUUCUCAGAACUCGAACUUCUGGUAAUAAGCAAUGCAAGUAAUUUGAAGCGCAUCUACCGCGAUCCCUUGCCCUUUCCACACCUGGAGCGAAUUGGCAUAUCGGAAUGCCCAAAGUUGAAGAAGCUCCCGCUCAAUUCCAGCAGCGCAAAGGGACGUAAAAUUGUCAUU
rnacentral:lncRNA from 1 species